AUGGAAACACACCUAACCCCACAUAGAACUCUCACGAAGACCAUGGGUUAGUACAAAAAUACAUAAUAAACAAUGCUUACCAUACCAUGGGAUCACUUGAUCCCUCACGGUACAUCUUGUACGCUUUGUGUGUUGAUCAUCUUCAUUUACUCUUUAUCUGACGAUCUUGAUCAACCUUGAGUCUCUAUGACCAUUCUUUGGAUAAUAUCUUGAAUACCACCUUGGUCAUCAUAUAAACUCCUUGAACCCGACAGAUGGACUUUAAGAAGUGUCGAUGGACAAAUCCUAUAAAUAUAACUUAAGGCAAUCAUUAGUCCAUAAAAAUUGUCAUCAAUUACCAAAACCAUAUAUGGAGAGAUAUGCUCUAUCACCAACAAUCUAUAUUGCUUCAACGGAGAGCGCUCAAUAUGUUUAGCGUGCAAUCAUAUCAUAUCAGUUAGAGAUAUCAAUGUCUAAACUAUCCACGUAUUAACGCAUAAUUAAUAUCUUAUUUGAUAUCAACAUGCAAUUAAUUUUCUUCCUAAUAUUAACUUGUGUUCUAAGGAACAAAAAAUAUACAAUUAAAAAAACAAAAAAACGAACAAAACUGGCCCCAAAAAUCAGAGAAACCCGAGCUGAAAUCGGGUUCCUAAGGAUUAUAUGGGCUGGCCCCGGUAUAGAUGUGCUGCGUUCGAACAGAGUUAUAUUUGGCGCCUUAAGCGUCAAAUACUAGCAUUUUCGGACGGUUCUCCACUCCCGCGCUCUUGCCUUGCCCUAACAUUCUCCGGCGGCCGUAGCCGGAGAGGCCAACUUCCACCACCUUGUUCCACUCCAGCCAACCACAGUUGAGCCCCCUCCGCGCCAACGCAGCUCGCAUUCACCAUCGACUCCCUCCCGCCCGUUCUCCCGACUCCCGCCCGACCCGACGGCCUCGGUCGAUCGGUCCUCUGCUCGCCUCACGCCAUGCCCACCUCCCGCACGACGGAAUGCCGAACCCAGAACCGCCGCUCCCCCCUUCCCUCUUCAACUCCCUCAUCGCCUCCCGCGCGCGCGCCGGCCGCGCGGCCGACGCCUUCUCGCUGCUCGCACGCAUGCUCGCCGCGGGCGUCGCCCCGACCGCGUUCACCUUCGCGCCGAUCCUCUCCUCGCCCUCCGCGUGCCCCCGCCGCGCCGCGCAGCUGCACCCGCACAUCCUCAAGCGCGGCCUGCUCCACAGCGACCCGUACUCCGGGACGGCGCUGCUGGGGUUCUUUGCGCGGUACGGUCGGUUCGGCGAGGCGCUCGACCUGUUCGGGGAAAUGCCUGCGCGGAGCGUCGUCACCUGGAACUGUCUCGUCUCUUCGUUCGCGCAGCAUGGGCGUGACGAGGACGCCGUGUUUUGGUUCAGGGAACUCGUGAGGAGCUGCGAUGGCUUGUCUGAAGGCUCUCUCGUUGCGGUCUUGCCUGCGCUUGUGUCCCCGGGCCUGGUUCAUGGGCUUACCAUCAAAACUGCAACGGAUUCCUUCUCGGCAGUUGCCAACUCGUUGCUGAAUUGUUACUGUGCUUGUGGCACAGUGUGCGCGGCAGAGAAGCUAUUUAAUGGUUUGAUGUUCAGAGAUGUGGUUUCGUGGAAUACAAUGAUCACUGCUUUUGCUAGGAGUAACUUCCCAAGGAGAGCUUUUGAGCUUUUCUCAGCAAUGUAUGGUCAGAGUGUUUCUCCAGAUGAAACUACAUUUUCCAGUGUUCUUUACGCAUGCACCAGUAUAAAUGCACAGGAGCAUGGGAAGUCUGUUCACGCCAAAUCUAUCAAGCAUAACCUCAAUACUACAGUAUUUGUGAGUACUUCACUGGUCGAUUUCUACAACAAAUGUGUUGGUAGGAGGGACGCUCUUAAAGUACUUGAAGAGGUUCCUCAUAAGAGCACUGCAAGUUGGAAUGCUCUGCUUUCUAUCAAGUCAGAUGGUGAUUUUCCAACUCUGUUUAUGAUUCUGAGAGAUAUGCUGCGAUCAGGGAUUAGCCCAAAUGAAUUUACCUUUUCUUCCUUGCUCAAGGAUCUAUCACUGUUGGAUGUGCAUCAGAUUCACGCAUUGGUCACAAAACUGGGUUAUGACGGUAAUGACUAUGUUUCAAGUGCUAUUAUAUCUUCCUAUGUCUCACAUGGCUUUGUUUCUGACGCCCUGGCUUAUGGAGUUACAUUGGAUCCUGACUCCUGUAAUGUAUCCAUGAAUGUUUUAGCUGGGGCAUAUAAUAGAGCUCACAUGUACCAAGAGACCAAGGAGCUACUCUUACAUCAGCAAACUAGUGAUAAUAUAUCAUGGAGCAUACUUAUUACUGCUUGUUCACGGAAUGGUGAUUAUACUGAAGCUUUUGGACUUUUCAGACAGAUGAGAAUUUUGGGGCAUCAUUUUGAUAACUAUGUAGCUGUGAGCUUGCUGAGUAUUUGUACAAAAGUUAACAGCCUUGUUCUUGGUAGGCUGGUGCAUGGGGUAAUCAUCAAGACCAGUUAUGGGUGCUCAGACACUCGUACUAAUAAUAUGUUGCUAGAUAUGUAUGCUAAAUGUGGUAGAAUUGAAGACUGUCUGAAAGCCUUUGAGGAAAUGGAAGAUAGGAACGUAAUCUCAUGGACAGCUGUGAUUUCAGGCCUUGCACUUAACGGUUUUUCUCGUAAGGCCCUGGCAUGGUUUAAAGCUAUGGAAGAGGCUGCUGUCAAACCUGACAAAGUAGCAAUUCUGGCAGUCCUUUCAGCUUGUAGACAUGGAGGACUUGUGCAGGAGGGAAUGGAGAUAUUCAAACGUAUGGAAGCUGAUUACUCAACUGAAGCUGGGAUGGAGCAUUACAUUUGUGUGGUGGACAUGCUAUGCAAGUGUGGUCAUCUAAAGCAAGCUGACUCUGUGAUUAGAGGCAUGCCUUUCCGCCCGAGUUCUAUUAUUUGGCGCACAUUCCUCCAAGGAUGCAAUACAUAUGGCAUGCUAGAUACGCAAGUGUUUAGCUAGUGAUGAUCUUGGUAAACAAUAGAGGUGGGUGUUUUCUCACAUGAAUUCAGGAAAUGGUUGUUGCCAAAUUAAUAUUUGGAUUAUGCUAGAUAUCAAAUGAAUUUUGGUUGCACAUAGUGUUGAUAUUGUUACAACAUAAUGUAGGUUGUCAUUUAAAUCAUAUGUUUGAACAACCUAGUAAUGGAGGAUAUGUGAUUACUGGACACCUUUAUCAGCCACUUGUCAGGACUCAGCAAGGUGAUCAGCCGUGUAUUUGAACAGUGAUGUUGGCGCGAAGCAACAGGAGCCCUCCAUCCAAGAUCCAACGCGCGAGAAGACUCCAUACCCCUUCGCUUUAAGGGAGUCGGCGGCUACCGUGGAUGCUCGAUCGGACGGCGAUCCGCGUGCCGGGCGUCCCUGUCGCUAAUCCGGCACGCCACCUUUCUUCUUCUACUACUUUUUGCUUUUCCUUUCGUUCCACCUUUGUAAGGCUAUAUAAGCCACGGAUCAGGCUCGUUUUGAGCUCAUCUUUUUGCUAGGGUUUACCCCAUUGCGCCGCCAGUGUUCCUGGCCGACUACUUUGUACUCGAACCUCUUAAUUCCUCCCCGAUUUGCCGAGUAAAGUGGCUAGUUCGAGUGAAAUUCGACCAUGUUCUUGUUCUUCAGUUAGCAGAGUCUGACAAUGGUAUUCAGAGCCAGUCCUUCCUCAGAGAAGUUCUAGAUCUUCCGGUGGCGUGAAUUGGGGGAAGAGCAGGGAAAAUCCUCCCUCCCUCCCGAUCCAGGCGGCGGUUAGCUGACGGUGGCGGCGAUCAUUCGGUACAGAUCUGGUCAGGUUAGUGGUUGCAAAAGCUCAUUGCUUGCGUAGUAAAAUCCCACCACCCUCCCGGAUCCGGUGUACUUGGUGGCGCGGCGACGGCGGCGGUGUUGGCGGCGGCAGAACUAACAACACCAGUUCGGGUUGCAGCUGCGGCUGUGGUAAAAUUCCUCUCUUGUGUUGUCUAGUUUCAGUGGGGUUUUAGACACUCUGUCAGAACCCUCUCUGCUCCUCUCAUGGCUAAGGUGGUUGCCCCCGCAGACUCCACCUCCAUUGAUCAGUUGGAGUUUACCUCCCUCCAACUCGUUGUCCAACUUCUGCAGAAAAAUAGGGAACAGGACAGAGUGGAGUUUGAUGAGUUCAUGGACUAUGUGCAUGGCAACUUCCACAACUUGCAGAAAUCUUUGGGUGACUUGCAGGGCACAUUGUCUACUUUUAUCUCUGGGUUUCCUAAACUAAGAGAGGUGCAGCCCAACCCUCAAGAUGUUCCUCAAGCCAGUGUUAUUGCUCAUACACCACAAGGCCCUCUAAACAAGUUCCGAGAUGCUCAACAAUCCCCUGUAACUGUGGGUUCUGCAACCUUGGUGGACAAGAAUUCUGGAAAGGAAUUAAACCUUGAUGGUACACUCAAAUUACCCUACAGACAUCCCCAUUUUGCAGACAACAAGCAUGCCACUACUGAAGCUAAGAACCCAGUGGUUGCUCACCAAGUGCCCCCUGGCCAGCAAGUUACUAACUUGGAGCAGGAUCAAGGUUGUUAGGAAUAAGCAACUUGUAUUCCCAUGAGGCCAUAGGCCAGUAUAUAUACAUGUACAGGUGGUGGACUAUAUGCAGGAAACCCCUUAUAUAUUGGGAUAAAUACAAAAGGGUACAUGACUUAUAUUAUAACUCUAACACCCCCCUCAAACUCAUGGUGGAUGAACAACACUGAGUUUGGAGAGAUAAAAGCCAUGUUGUGCUCUAGUCUGGGCCUUCGUCAGGAAAUCCGCCAACUGUAACUCGGAAGGCACAUACUGAAGAGCAAUAACCUGAUCCUGCACAGCAGCGCGCACAUAGAAAGCAUCAACGCCAAUAUGCUUGGUGAGCUCAUGCUUCACAGGGUCGCGCGCAAUGCUAAUAGCACCUGUACUGUCACAUAAGAGUAGAGUCGGUGUAGUGACAGAAACACCAAAAUCCUGAAGUAACCACCGUAACGAAGUCACCUCUGCCAUCAAAAGAGCCAUCGCUCGCAACUCAGCCUCUGCACUCGAACGGGAAACUGCAAUCUGUUUCUUCGUCUUCCAGGCAAUGAGAGAACCACCAAGAAAAACACAGUAAGCAGAAAGUGAACGGUGAUCUGAAGGAUCACUAGCCCAGGUAGCAUCCGAAUAGGCCUGAAGCUUUAAAGAACUGGAGCAAGGAAAGAAUAGACGGUGAGAGAUCGUGCCCCGAAGAUAUCGGAGAACACGGAGGAGAUGACUAUAGUGAACCGAUGUGGGAGCAGAGACGAACUGACUCAGAAUAUGAACCGGAUAAGAGAUAUCCGGACGAGUGACAGCCAGGUAAACAAGACUGCCAACAAGAUGAUGAUAACGCGUCGGGUCAGGCAGGGGAUCACCAUCAGUAGCGCAUAGGUGAACAUUGAGCUCCAUAGGAGUCUCAACAAUGCGCUCAUCAGUAAGAGCAGCACGAGCAAGAAGAUCCUGGAUAUACUUUUCCUGGGAUAUAAAGAAGCCAUCAGAGGUAGAAGAAACUUCAAUCCCAAGAAAGUAGCGAAGAGGUCCAAGAUCAGACAUAAGGAACUGCUCACUAAGACGGGCCUUGACAAAGGCAAUAUACUCGGGGUCAUCCCCAGUGAUGACCAUAUCAUCAACAUAGAGAAGAAGAAGAGUCCGACCACGAGGAGAAAGGUGAAUAAAUAAUGCUCGAUCAUGAACACUGGGUGAAAAACCAGCGGCAGUCACCACAGAGGCAAAACGCUCAAACCAGGCACGGGGGGCUUGCUUAAGGCCAUAGAGAGAGCGACGAAGACGACAUACCAUGCCAUCAGGAACAGAAUACCCAGGUGGUGGCUGCAUGUACACCUCCUCACGCAGCUCACCAUUAAGAAAAGCAUUCUUAACAUCAAGCUGAGAGAUAGACCAGUGGCGUGUAGAGGCCACGGCAAGAAGUGUACGAACAGUGGUCAUAUGAGCCACAGGAGCAAAAGUCUCGUAAUAAUCACGACCAUGCUCCUGCUGAAAACCACGAGCCACAAGACGAGCUUUGUGACGCUCAAGAGAACCAUCAGAGCGAGUCUUAACCUUGUAGACCCACUUACAAGUGAUGGGACGAACUCCGGGAGGAAGAGAAACAAGAUCCCACGUACCAGUGCGUUCAAGAGCAGCAAUCUCCUCUGCCAUCGCAAACUGCCAUUCAGGAUGAACAACAGCCUGAUGAUAAGUAGUCGGCUCAAGAAUAGCAGCACCAGCGGUGAAAAAUCCAAAGCGAUCAACAGGCGGAGGAGGACGAGAACGCAAACCAUAAGUAGGCUGAGAUGAGGAUGACGACACAUCCACAGAGGCAUCCACAGAACGUGAACGACGAGUGUAACACUGAGGAAAAGAUGGAACAAUGGAAGGAGGAAUCGCCAAGGUAGAAUCGGGGAGUGACGACGAAGAAGUCACCGGAGAGGAAGGUGUAGACUCCGGUGACAUGCUAGACGAGGAGACCGUGGAAGAUGGUGGCGACAAAUCGACUAGAGGUGGAGAAGCAGAGGGAGCGGAACGAAUAGGCAAAGGCUCGACAGGUGUGAUAGGUGUGUCAGGAAAAGUGAGAAAAGAGACAUCCUCCACUAAAAAGGUCGAGGAAGAUGGGCGUGGAUAGAAGGGACGAGACUCAUCGAAAGUCACAUCCCGAGAGAUACGCAUCCGACGACCGAUAGGAUCCCAACAACGAUAGCCCUUAUGCUCAUCACUAUAGCCUAAGAAGACACACUCAACAGACUGAGCGGUCAGUUUGGUGCGUUCGCGGGGGGCAAGAAGAACAUAGCAAACACAACCAAACAAGCGAAGCAUCGAAUAAUCAGGAGAACGAUCAAAAAGAUGCUCGAAAGGAACACCACCCUGUAGAGCAGCGGAAGGCUGGAAAUUGAUGAGAUAGGUGGAGGUGGAGACGGCCUCAACCCAAAAAUGAGGCGGGAGAGAGGCAACAAUCAUCAAUGCACGAGCCGUCUCAAGAAGAUGACGAUGCUUGCGCUCAGCCACGCCAUUCUGAGCAUGAGCACCAGGACAAGAGAAUUGAGAGAGAGUCCCUUGCUCAGCAAGAACACCACGCAACAUCUUAGAGAUAUACUCGCCAGCGGAGUCAGCACGAAACACACGAAUGGGAGAAGAGAACUGAGUAUGAACCAUGGCAGCAAAACGCUUAUAAAUGGACAACACCUCACUACGAGAAGUCAUGAAAUAAAGCCAUGUGUAACGAGAGAAGUCAUCUAUGAAAAUAAUAUAGUAUUUAUGACCCCCUUUCGAAGCGAAGGGAGCCGGACCCCAUACAUCGGAAUGGACUAAAUCAAAAGGACGCUUAGACACUGACUCACUAUGUGGAUAUGGUAACUGAAUCUGCUUGCCAAGACGACAACCCUGACACUCUAAGGAGGCAUCUCCUGAGACAGACCCCAGAAGACCUCGACGAACUAACGACGACAAACGAGAACCACACAAAUGACCAAGUCGAUGAUGCCACUGCUGGAAAGAACCAGUAGCCGAGGCGACCAAAGCGGAAGAACUGGCGAUAGAGUGGGCAGCGGAAGGAACAUGAAGCCAGUCCAACUCCCAAAGACCCUCAGAAUCACGGCGGCGAGGACCAGCCCCAACCAGAGUGUGCGUGCGACGGUCCUAGACAGAACAAGAGUCAAGGUCAAGGAUGACACGACAACCAGAAUCAGCAAGUUGACCAGCGGAAAACAAAUUCAUGGUAAGUCAAGGAACAUGAGCAACAUCAGGAACAGAAUAAGAAGGAGUGGUAAGAGUGCCUCUACUAACGACAGGAAGGGGAGUACCAUCAGCGGUGAGGACAUGAACAGGAGAAUCAAGCGAUCGAAGAGAGGACAGAGUGGAAGAAUUAGAAGUCAUAUGAAAGGAAGCUCCAGAGUCCAGAACCCAUGGGGAUGUACCUGACUGUGUAGAAGGUGGUUGCUCAGUGCGGGAAGCCUCAGUCAUAGAACCAGCAGUACCCGUUGAGGAAGAACCUGAAGCAGCGAGCAGACGCUUGAGUCUCAGAAUAUCCUGCUCAGUCAAAGCGAUGGCUGAAACUGUCGAGGUAGAUGACGAAGUCGCUGUAGAUGAUGACCGCGCCUUGCGCAAGUGUUUCUUCUUCGUGUAGCAGUGGGACUCAAUAUGACCAUCAUUGUUGCAGUAGUUACAAUGUGGACGGGGGCGACCUGAGCCGCCAGAAGGAGUGGGCAAGAGCGGCGGAGCACUCGAGCGAGAAGGGGUCGGUGCAGCAGGUGGCGUAGAAAAAGUCCGAGCAGCGAGCACCGAGGGAACCUCCAGCAAACCAGCACCACGUAAGCGAGUCUCCUCAGCACGAAUCUCAGAAAGCGCCUCCAUGAGAGAAAUACGGCCACGAGCAAACAACUGAGCACGCCGGGGCUCAAAUUCCUUACGGAGCCGAGACAGGAACUCGUAGACGCGAUGAAACUCCAAGUCGGCCUGGACAGCCUGGCAACAGGGGCAAGUACGACAACCAGCACUGCGGAGAGAAUCAAGCUGGCGCCAGAUAGCAGAACUCUGUGCAUAGAAGUCAUCAACAGUAGAGUCACCCUGCUGAAGAGCAUGCUCCUGACGGACCACAGAGAGGUAUAAGGCAUCACCAGAGGGGCAUCACCAGAGGGCUCAUAGCGCUGACGAAGGUGGGUCCACAUCUCAAAUACAGUAGGAAGGCCCAGAAACUCAGAAGCAAACUCAGGCAGAACACUAGCAGUGAGAACAGCGGCAGCACGAGCAUCAUCAUUAAGCCACUGGGUGUAAACGGACAGAGCAUCAUGGUACACCUGAAGAGCCUCCUCAUAAGCCAAGACCUUCUCAUCAUAAGCACUCACAGCGGCCUCAUCAGCAAGCUUAGUCGCAUCCUUUGCGGCCUGAGAAGCAUCCGCAGGAAGAGCCGAUGGGGUCGGCGGAGUGGGAGCCACGGGAGGAACCGGACAUGGCGGACAACAGACCUCGCCGGAAAGAAAACCCCAUAGGCGGAUGCCACGCAUGUGAAUGCGCAUGAAGCCAAUGAACUCGGUGUAGUUAGUGCCAUCAAAGAUCACUGGACAACGAGGAACAGCAACGUAGCCGGUGACGGGAACCAGCAGGGGAACGAGAACCAGCAGAGGCGACGGGAACCAGCACACGGCCUCGCCUCGAUCUGGUGGUGACGGGAAUUAGCAGGCCCGCGCCUCGAUCUAGUGGUGACAGAACCAUCAGGGGAACGGGAACCAGUAGAGGCGACGGGAACCAGCUAACUGCCGCGCCUCGAUCUGGUGGCGAUGGGGAUCAGCAGAGGCGACAGGAACCAGAGCGCCUCGCCUCGAUCUAGUGGCGACGGGAAUCAGCAGAGGCGGCGGGAACCAGAGCGCCUCGCCUCGAUCUGGUGGGAGUAGGCGACGGGGACGGGAUGCAGGCGGCCGCGCCUCGAGCUGGUGAGGACGAGAACCAGCAGGGCGACGGGGACCAGCAGGGCGACGGGGACCAGCAGGGCGACGGGAGUAAGCGAUGGGGAACGACCCGGACAGGCACCCAGAACGACUUCGGCCAGGAGCGAAGCGAGAUUCCAGGAGCCAAGAGCCCGGCGUUGACUUGAGACGUUGAGCGCGACGGGAACCAGCAGCGAGACGGAAGGCGACUGCGCGGAGACGAGAUUGGAUCGGAGCACGAGUUGCGCGUGCGAGAAAAAACCCUAAGGCUCUAAUACCAUGUUAGGAAUAAGCAACUUGUAUUCCCAUGAGGCCAUAGGCCACUAUAUAUACAUGUACAAGUGGUGGACUAUAUGCAGGAAACCCCUUAUAUAUUGGGAUAAAUACAAAAGGGUACAUGACUUAUAUUAUAACUCUAACAAAGGUGAGGGACAAAAUGCUCAUUUGGACAGAAGGUUUGGCACUGCAAACAGAGACUGGUCUCCAGAGAUCAGAAGAGUGCACACUCUGGUAAAACCUGCCAAAUACAACAUCCCUGAAUUUGAUGGCACCAACACUGACUCCUGGAUUCAGACAAUUGAAAUGUAUUUUUAAGUUGCCAGAACUCCCCUGGAACAAAAGACUGAAAUUGCUGUAACUUACUUGACAUGACCUGCAAUUGAGUGGUGGAGAGGCACAGGUAUCAUUGCUAAUACUUUGCCUUGGUACAGGUUCUGCAGACUGAUAGGUGACAGGUUCUCUGAAACUUCAGUUUGUGACAAUGUCAGAACAUUUCAUGCCCUUACCCAGACUGGAACUGUCAAUGACUAUGUACUACAGUUUGAGAAAUCCAUGAACCUAAUCAGAAGGGAUAACCCAGCAUUGCCCCAGGAGUACUACAAAACAAGCUUCAUUGCUGGCCUGUCUCACAACAUUCAACAUCAUGUCCAAUGUCAUGAACCUCCUGACUUACACAAAGCUAUUUGGCUAGCUAGAAGAAUGGAGCAAUCUCAGCCAGCUAAGAAAGUACAACAACCAUUCUUCAGUCACACUGUCAAAAGGCAAAUUUAGUUUGACCCUGGAAAACAACCUCCCAAUUCCACUGCCACUGUUAUUCAACAAGCAAGGUUGAAGGGCAUUUGCUAUAAGUGCAAGGACCCAUGGUUCCCAAGGCACAAAAAGGUCUGUAAACUAGCAAAUCAAAUCCAAAUACAGGCACUACAAGAGAGUUACCCUGAGGAUGCAGAGUUAGUAUAUUAUACUGCUGAAAGUGGUGAUGCUGACACUCCACCUCCUAUGGAUAGUGAUGACCCUCCAUUACAAAUAUCAAUGCAUGCCUUGAUGGGAAUGAGAGCUACUAGGAAACUGAGCUUCACUGUGACUGUCCUGUUAGGAAAUAUCCCUGCCACAGCCCUCAUUGACAGUGGUAGCACUGCUACAUUCAUCACACCAUCUUUAGCUUAGAAAGCAAAAUGUGCUAUAACCCCAACCAAGAGGAGACAAGUGAUUGUGGCUAAUGGUGCUACACUCUGGUCAGAGUUCAUUGCACUUAACUGCCCCUUUUCUCUUCAAGGAACUAACUUCUCCACAGAUUUCAGAGUGUUGCAACUACAGGGUUAUGAUGUAAUCCUAGGGGCUGAUUGGAUGGCUGCAUUUAGUCCUGUGGAACUUGACUUUGAUGAGAUGCAUGUCAUAGUCACAUUACCUGGAGGUGAAAACAAAAUAUUCCAAGAUGAGAGUCUACCCACUGUACCAGUUCAAGAAAUUCUUCCCAAUGAAACUAUUCCCAGUGAACCUGUGUGUGGAGCUGUUCUUUUGCUUCACAGAAUUAUAGUGAAAGAACAUGUGGAUCUAACUGUGCCUGAACCAAUACAGAAGAUUCUCAAUGAAUAUUCCCCUGUUUUUAGCACACCAACAACUUUACCCCCCAAAAGGGCUAUUGAUCAUGUUAUCACAUUCACCCCCCAAGCUAAGGUCAUUAACCAGAGACCUUAUAGAUUGCCUCACCACCAGAAAGAUGCAAUGGAAAACAUAGUACAAGAGAUGAUCAAGUCUAAAGUUAUCACGGACAGUAACAGUCCUUAUUCUUCCCCUGCACUUUUGGUGAAAAAGGACAUGACAUGGAGGCUGGUCAAUGAUUUCAGAAAAGUGAAUGAGCAGACUGUGAAAAACAAAUAUCCCAUCCCUGUUAUUGAAGAUCUCUUGGAUGAACUGAAAGGUGCAACAGUCUUCUCCAAGUUGGAUCUGAGAAGUGGUUAUCACCAAAUCAGAAUGAAAGAGGGUGACAUUGAGAAAACUGCUUUUAGCACACACUGUGGACACUAUGAAUACUUGGUGAUGCCCUUUGGACUCACCAAUGCUCCUGCCACAUUCCAGCUCCUCAUGAACACUAUCUUAGCCCCUUACCUAAGAAAGUUUGUAUUGGUCUUCUUUGGUGAUAUCCUGGUCUAUAGCAGAAAUAUGAAGGAACACCUGCAACAUCUCAAACUUGUUCUAGAAGCACUGCAGUCAAAUCAGUUUGCAAAGCUUAGCAAGUGCUCUUUUGCUCAACCACAAGUGGAAUACUUGGGUCAUGUCAUCACGGGUGAUGGGGUUGGUACUGAUCCUACAAAAAUUGAAGCCAUUAUUCAGUGGCCAGCACCUGAGAAUGUACCUCAGUUAAGAAGUUUCUUGGGCCUAACUGGUUACUACAGGAGAUUUAUUCAACACUAUGGGUUUAUCUAUAAACCUCUGCUCAACUCCUUGAGAAAAGACAAUUUCCAGUGGGGGUCUGACCAAAUGGAGGCUUUUAACAUACUAAAACACAAAAUGACUCAAGCCCCAGUCUUAGCACUUCCAGACUUUUCUCAGCCUUUUAUAUUGGAAACUGAUGCUUGUGCAUAUGGCAUUGGUGCUGUGUUGAUGCAAGAGGGUAGACCACUCUCUUACUUCAGUAAAACUAUUGGCCCAAAAGCUGCAGCAAUGUCCACUUAUGAUAAAGAAGCUUUAGCAAUUAUUGCAGCACUGAAGCACUGGAAACGUUACUUUGCUGCAUCAGCACUAGUAAUCAGAACUGACCAGCAAAGCUUGAGAUACAUUCAGGACCAAAAGAUAACAGAGGGGAUCCAACAUAAAUUAUUAAUCAAGUUGCUGGGAUAUAAUUUCAGAAUUGAAUACAAGCAAGGGAAGAACAACAAAGUUGUUGAUGCAUUAUCCAGAGUCCAAUAUAGAUUACACUCAUUAAUUGCUAGCCAAGCUUAGCCCAGCUGGUUAACUGAGGUUGUUGCUAGUUAUGCUCAGGACCAAAAGUGCAAAGAUCUCCUAGCUCAACUGGCCAUCUCUGCAACUUUUGUCCCUAACUUUACCUUGCAACAAGGACUGUUGAGAUACAAAAACAGAUUUGUCAUUGGUUUGGACAAUGCCCUUAGAACCAAACUAGUAUCAGCAAUGCACAACUCUGAACUAGGGGGCCACUCUGGACACAGAGCAACUUACCAAAGAAUGAAACUCCUUUUCCACUGGCCAGGCAUGAAGAAAUUUAUUGUGGAAUUCAUCAAACAGUGCCCAACUUGCCAGAUCAACAAACCUGAGCAUUGCAAGUACCCAGGAUUACUGCAGCCCCUCCCAGUUCCUGACUUUGCUUGGUGUCACAUUAGCAUGGAUUUCAUUGAAGGUAUCCCUACCUCCCAAGCAAAGGACAUGAUUCUUGUAGUGGUGGACAGAUUCACCAAGUACAGUCACUUUAUUCCAAUGAAACACCCCAUUAUUGUCAGUACAGUUGCAAGAGCCUUUACUGAAAAUAUAUUCAAGUUGCAUGGACUCCCUUCAGUUAUUGUCACUGACAGAGAUAGAAUCUUCACCAGCAACCUCUGGCAAGAACUGUUCAAGAAACUUGGCAUCAAACUGCACAUGAGCACUUCCUACCACCCUCAGUCUGAUGGUCAAACAGAGAGGGUUAAUCAAUGUCUGGAGAACUACUUAAGAUGCAUCGCUUUCCUCCAACCUCAAAAGUGGAUGCAAUGGCUUCCCCUAGCUGAGUGGUGGUAUAACACUAGUUACCAUACAUCACUCCAGCUCACACCUUUCCAAACUUUGUACAACAGACCACCUAACAUGCUUUCUGAAGCUGCUCUUUAUCCUGCUGACAUGGUUCAGGAAUUCUCCUCCAUCCUAAAUGCAGAACAACUGGUAGCUCAGAUCAAGGGUAACCUUCUCAAGGCACAGCAAAGGAUGAAGCUCUAUGCUGACAGAAAGAGAUCUGAAAGAACACUGGAAGUGGGAGACAUGGUCUAUCUGAAGCUCCAACCUUACAGGCACACCACCCUAAGCUUGCAUAGAUGCCUUAAGCUACAUUCCAAGUACUAUGGACCCUUCAGAAUUAUCCAGAAAGUGGGGCCUGUAGCUUACAAACUGUUGUUGCCUGAUCAUUGCAAGCUUCACCCUACAUUCCAUGUCAGCCAACUUAAAAAGCACCUGGGCCCACAGGCCAUACCCAACCCUCACCUCCCUCUACUCCAUAUAGAUGGAACCAUCUUAUUGGAACCUCAGAAGAUACUGGAAAGAAAACUCAUUCCUAGGGUGCAGGGAGAUAUUCAAAUUCCAGUGGUCAGAUGGCUCAUUAAGUGGACCUACCUUGCUGAACAGGAUGCCACCUGGGAGGAUGGCUCUUUUAUCCAAAAAUUAUUCCCGGCAUUCCAGCCCUGAGGACAGGUCUGAAGUUACUGGGGGGGGGGGGGNCGCCAGUGUUCCUGGCCGGCUACUUUGUACUCGAACCUCUUAAUUCCCCCCCGAUUUGCCGAGUAAAGUGGCUAGUUCGAGUGAAAUUCGACCCUGUUCUUGUUCUUCAGUUAGCAGAGUCUGACACCACUUCACCUCUUUUGUUCGCUCCAUUAUAUCUAUGAAGGGUGUUGAUUGGAAACAUCCUCAUUUGAUGAACCUUUUCUGGUUGGUGGUUCAUUGUGGGUCGGCAUUUCUUUGCUCCCUUCCAUUGUUCCAUUGGUUUGGUUUUGUGCUCUGUCAUCAUCUAGUGGCUAAUUGCAGAAGGAAAAGGCCUCUGUCUUUCUGCAUGUAGCAAUGCAAGCUAGCAAAAGGUGCCUUGUGUCCAUGUUAUUUACAUUCAUGGUCAGAAUUGUGCAACAUGGAGGAGGCGAAAAGGGUGGCUUCUAUUCCAGUUGACUUGGAUAUGUUGCCCUUAAAGAUCCAGCCCUCCAUAUGCUCAAUGAAAUGUUCACUGUGGAAGUUAGAACUUGAAACUGGUUGUCAUUCUUUGUGGAAGUUACAAAGGAGGUGUUAAGGUCCACAAAGAAAAUUGGAAAUGUGUACCUAGUUUUAUUUAGAAGAAAUGUGUACCUAGUUGGAAGUAUCUGAAGGAAUAUUGUACAGUGACUGAAUUCAGUUAUUCAUGUAAGAAAUGGUAUAUGCGAAAUGAAGAUGAUCUCAUGACAUAAAGUUAAGUGAGCGUCAAUCUACUGGGUUCGGUGGUUCACUUUCUGUACCUAAAGAAAUGUUUCAGUUUGCAGGUAAAAGGAGAGUAAACGGAGAAGAGCUGUUGUCAAAAUACCAUGGUGUGGUAGCCACUCGCAGCCUAGGGAAAUGUGGAAAAUAACUGGAACAUGUUCAGUAAGAUCCCCUCCUAUUUACUAUCCUUGACUUGUGAAUCUAAUUGAUGGUGACCUGCAUGAUCAUACCAGACCAAUGCAUUUAUAAUGAUUAGAAUUGUGAGGCUGCUGUCACCAGGUGUGUUCUUGCUCAAUGAGUAUCUGAAACGUGGAUUCCUUUUUGGUAAACAAGUUCUUGCAAGGCGCCUCUUAGCAUCAUGGAUUAGUCAGCCAAGGUCGUUAGGCUGUGGCAAAUCGGUUGCAAAGAUGAUAAAGCUCGAGUCAGGACGGAGGCACUAACUAAUUAUCAGAGGUACACACCUUUUGACGAAGCAUGCACAUUAGUAGCAAAAUAUGGGUUAUAUAAUACCCAAGCAUGGGCUUUUAUUGGCUAUUGCUUUUCAUUCCACUAGGCAUUGUCUACGUACCUCCAAAGGUUUGCGUUUACUAAUUGAAUGAUGACCAGGCACUGUUGUGCUGGUACUGUAAAGGUGAUCUGGUCAAAGAAUUCAAAGCAUUAUCUAAUCCAAUGGCUGGUGGGCUGAGAUAUCACGACCUCCGUAUCAAGCUGGGAUUGCAAAGAUUGACAGUUGAAGGAAGAUCCAGCUUACUAGAUAGUACAUGUGUAACGAUUUUAAAUUAUAAUUAACUUUGCUUGCUGCCAUAUCUUAUGCGUGUUGCAAGGUAGUGCAUCUCUGAAUUGCGGGCAGGUAAACUGGCAUUGUCCUAGGUACGACACCUUGAUGCAGAUUGCAACUGUGACCACUGACUGAUGUCUAUCUGCAUACUGUCGCAAUUUGUUCUCUGUGACUGGAAAAUGCAGACCUAAGGUAGGAGCCCUCCCUCCACGGGGUUUACUGUAUUCUGAUCAGUGUGAACCUUGGUUUGGCUCAAAGGAAUUUCGUAGGAAUUUUUCCUGAAGUUUGUUAUGUUCUUACGAUUAGAAACCAUAGGAAAUAUUCCUAUGGUCUACUUUGUAUACAGUUUCAAAGAAAAAAAAUCAUUAAGCCCAGCCUCAUUGAAAUUUUCUUUGUUUCUAUGAUAACUAUGCCAUGCACCUAAUGCUAUAGAAAAUUAUUGCAUUUUUCCUGUGGUACUACCAAACAGCUUCUAUCACUAAUCCAUGUGUUUUCGUUUCCUUAAAAUUCAACAUAGCAUGCCAUCCCGUUUCUACGACAAAUUGAUAACUAUGCCAUGCACCUAAUACUAUAGAAAGAUUCUUGCAUUUUUCCUGUGAUGCUACCAGACAGCUUCUGUCACUAAUCCGUGUGUUUACGUCUCCCUAGGAUUCAACAUAGCAUGCCAUCUCAAUCAUGUGUUUCCUCUAUUCCCGUGUUUUAAGAAUCCUAUGGACCAAAGAGGCCACACGACACCAUACUUUUGACAUUUCGUUGUGAUGUCACUUACUUUAUCAUUCUAGUAUCUGUUCAAAUCUGGGCCUUAGGCCCAUAAAAGAAUUUCAGAAAUUUUCAAGGGCCCAUGUAGGUGGUGACAUGACAAGGUGAUGAUGGAAAGUUUAGUCUCACCCUGCUAGUGGAGAAGAAGUUGGACCCCUGUAUAAGGAUCUCUCUUCUACAUGCUAUUGGAGAGUGAGAAGAGAAGAUGCCCUCGCGCACUCCUCCUCCGCCGCCCGCCUCGCCGCCGCGGGUUGCAGGGAAUGAGCCCUGGCCCGCCAGCCCGCCAAUACGGCACGACACGGGCCCGGCCCAACACCAAUUUAAACGGGUCGUUCCAGGCACGGCCUGGGCCGGCACGGUCCGUUUAUUUUUUUACAUAUUUUUAAAUAUUUUAUAUAUAUAUAUAUAUAUAUAUAUGGCCUAAUAGACCUAAAAACAAGCCCAUGAGGCUGAAAUUGUGCAGCCCGGCGUGUUAAUCGGGCCAACAGGCCGGCCCGUUUAGUAAUCGGGUCGUGCCUGGGCCUGUAGGCGCAGCCCAUGGGCUGGCACGGCACGGCCCGAUUACUAAACGUGCCUCGGCAGGCCGUGUCAGGCCAGGCACAUUUAGCACGGGCCGGUCCGUUUGGCCAGGCAUGGUAUAACCUAUUUAUCCCGCUCCUGUUUAUUUCUGUCCUAGUAGUACUACGUAGUACUUGCUAGUAUGCUCCGUGAUCUGUAUGUCAUGAAUCUAGUGAAUGCCAUGUUAGUAAUUAUUUCAUGGAUUAAUAUACUCGGAAAAUUGACUAUUUACUCAACAAUCCAAGAACCUAAUGUGUGUAGGAAUUUUUCGAGUAAUUGUUUUGCUGCUGCACUGAAACCGGAUAAGUUUACUGGUGCUUAUUUCAAGCGUUGGCAAACGAGAACCACCUUAUGGCUCACGGCUAUGAACGUGUUCUGGGUAGCCGGUGUCACUUCUACGGGAACGAUCACUCCUGAACAAGAGAAGAUGUUCGCGGAGGCCACCGUCCUAUUCCUUGGAGCAGUUAUAAUUGUGAUCGGAGAUAAGAUGGUUGAUGCAUAUUUACAUAUGCAUGUUGCCAAAGAGCUGUGGAGGCGCUCGAAUCUAAAUUCAGGGCCACUGAUGCUAGGAGCAAGAUGUAUGUUAUGGAGCAAUUCCAUGAUUACAAAAUGGUUGAGAACCGUUCUGUACUGGAACAAGCUCAUGAGAUAAUAUGCAUUGCUAAAGAACUUGAGGUUCUGAAGUGCAAUUUAUCGGGCAAAUUUGUCGCGAGGUGUAUAAUUGCUAAGCUCCCUAAUUCCUGGAGGAACUUUGCUACUACUCUGAAACAUCAGAGGCGUGAAUUCUCAAUAGAGGAUACCAUCGGCCAUCUGAGUGUUGAGCAGAACUCGAGAGCAAAAGACUCACACGGAAAUAUGGUCGAAGGUCCUUCUGCUGCCAACAUGGUACAUCAGAGGAACUUCAAUUCCCACAAGCCCAAGGGGAAGAAUUAUGUCCAACAGAAUACCGACUUUAAGAAGAAGGGUAAGAAGACCUUUAAGAAGAACGAGAAGGGAGAUUGUUGCUUCAAUUGUCGUUCUGAGGAACAUUGGGUCAGUAAGUGCCCAAACAAGUACAAGAAGCUAGUGCAGGACUCCAAGUCUGCCAAUAUGAUUGUGAGCAACAAUGAAAGUGGUGCAUCUGGGUACGGUAAUUUGUUUACCGUAUUUUCGGUUUGUCAACCUACCGAUUGGUGGGUCGACACAGGUGCAAAUAUUCAUGUGUGUGCUGACAUAUCAUUGUUCCCUUCUUAGCAGGUCACAGGCCGAGGGUACGUAUUGAUGGGGAAUGGCGUGAGUGCUUCUGUUCUUGGUAUUGGCACGGUCGAUCUGAAGUUUACUUCGGGAAGGAUCGUGCAGCAUGUCCCCGCCAUCAAGAAGAAUCUCGUUAGCGGCUCCCUUUUGUGUAGAGAAGGGUUUAAGUUGGUCUUCGAGUCUAAUAAAGUAGUUGUUACGAAAUAUGGACUUUUUGUUGGAAAAGGUUUUGAAUGCGGAGGUCUAUUCCGCCUUCCCUUGCAGAUUUUUGUAAUAAAGUCGUGAACAAUAUUCAUUCGAGUGUUAAUGAAUCUAAAGUUUGGCAUUCACGUCUUUGUCACAUAAGUUUCGGUGUUAUGUCGCGGCUAGCAAAACUGAAUUUAAUCCCGAGUUUCACUUUACCCAAAGGUUCUAAGUGCCAUUCGUGUGUGCAAGCAAAGCAACCUCGCAAGCCUCACAAGGCUGCAGAGGAGAGACACUUGGCGCCAUUAGAACUCAUACAUUCUGAUCUUUGUGAGAUGAAUGGUGUGUUGACUAAAGGUGGAAAGAAAUAUUUCAUGGCAUUGAUAGAUGAUUCCACUAGAUAUUGCUAUGUGCAUCUGUUAAAUACUAAAGAUGAGGCUCCACACUACUUUAAAAUCUAUAAGGAAGAAGUUGAGAAUCAACUUGAAAAGAAAAUUAAACGAGUCCGGUCUGAUCGUGGUGGAGAGUACUUCUCAAACGAAUUUGAUUCUUUUUGUGCAGAACACGACAUUAUUUAUGAGAGAAUGCCUCCCUAUUCACCCCAGUCAAACGGGGUUGCCGGGCGGAAAAAAUGUACUCCAACUGAUUUGGUUAACGCCAUGUUAGAUACAUCGGGUUUAUCCAAGGCAUGGUGGGGGGAGGCUAUAUUGACCGCGCGUCCUAUCCUGAAUAAGGUUCCUACAAAAGAUAAUGAAGUCACUCGAUACGAGGAGUGGUCAAAGAGAAGGACGACGCUCUCGUACUUACGUACUUGGGGCUGCUUGGUGAAAGUCAAUGUGUAGAUCCCCAAAAAGUGUAAGCUUGGACCAAAGACCUUGGACUGCGUUAAUUUGGGUUACGCUAAGAAUAGCGUUGGCUAUAGAUUUCUAGUAGUGAAAUCUGAGGUACAUGACGUAAAGGUCGGUACAAUUAUGGAGUCGAUGGAUGCUACAUUCUUUGAGUAUAUUUUUUCCAUGAGAGAUAUGCAAAGCACUUCUAGACAGGAAUUUGAGGAAACUCCUGAGCCUGCCAUUCCUAUGGAAUAUUAUGAACAAAUGCAUGAUGAAAAUCCUGAGGAGGAUGACGAGGAAACCCUUGGUAGGGGCAAGAGACAAAGGACUGCAAAUACCUUUGGUGGUGAUUUCUUCGUAUACCUCGUGGAUGAUAAUCCCACUUCUAUUUCAGAUGCGUAUGCGUCUCUAGAUGCUGAUUACUGGAAAGCUGCGGUCCGUAGCGAGAUGGAUUCCAUCAUGGCUAAUGGGACAUGGGAAAUUACUGAUCGUCCCUAUGGUUGCAAACCAUUGGGAUGCAAGUGGGUGUCCAAAAGGAAGCUUAGGCCCGAUGGUACGAUUGAAAAGUACAAACCUAGGCUUGUGGCCAAGGGCUAUGCCCAGAAAGAAGAAGCAGAUUUCUUUGAUACUUAUUCACCUGUGGCUAGACUGACUACCAUUCGAGUACUACUCUCAUUGGCGGCCUCACAUGGUCUUCUCGUUCAUCAAAUGGACGUUAAGACAACUUUCCUGAACGGAGAGCUAAACGAGGAAAUCUAUAUGAAACAUCCAGAUGGCUUUGUGAUAGAUGGUCAGGAAGGAAAGGUGUGUAAGUUGCUGAAAUAUUUAUAUGGUCUGAGACAAGCACCUAUGCAAUGGCAUGAGAAGUUUAAUACAACUCUGACAUCUGUUAGCUUCGUUGUUAAUGAAGCUAACAAAUGUGUAUACUAUCGCCAUGGUGGGGGCGAAGGAGUUAUAUUGUGCUUGUAUGUUGAUGACAUAUUGAUAUUUGGAACCAACCUCAAAGUGAUUGAGGAGGUUCAGUCUUUUCUGUCUCAAAACUUUGAGAUGAAGGACCUUGGGGUGGCUGAUGUUAUCUUGAACAUCAAGCUUUUGAGAGAUGAUGAGGGUGGGAUUAGACUUCUGGAAUCCCACUAUGUUGAGAAGAUUUUGAGUCGCUUUGGAUAUUCAGACUGCAAAAUUUCUCAAACACCAUAUGAUUCUAGUGUGCUGAUUCGAAAGUUCAAAGGCAGAGCUAUAGAUCAAUUGAGAUUCUCUCAAAUUAUUGGUUCGCUUAUGUAUCUAGCUAGCGCAACGAGGUCUGACAUCGCGUUUGCUGUGAACAAACUUAGCCGGUUUGUUGCCAAUCCGGGCGAUGUUCAUUGGUGUGAUGUUGAAAGAAUCAUGCACUACCUGAAAGGUACUGUCAACCACGGACUUCACUAUAUGGGAUACCCAUCGGUACUUGAAGGGUAUAGUGAUGCGAAUUGGAUCUCUGAUGCUGAUGAGAUGAAGGCCACUACUGGGUAUAUAUUUACUCUUGGAGGUGGUGAUGUUUCCUGGAAGUCUUGAAAGCAAACGAUCUUAACGAGAUCGACAAUGGAAGCAGAAUUAACAGCAUUAGACACAUCUGGUGUCGAAGCAGAAUUUCUUAGAGAUCUUUUGAUGGACUUGCCUGUGGUUGAGAAGUCGGUUCCGGCUAUCCUUAUGAACUGCGAUAAUCAGACAGUUAUUGUCAAAGUGAAGAGUUCAAAGGACAAUACGAAGUCCAACAAACAUAUAAGAAUGAGAUUGAAGUUUGUCAGACGUUUGAGAAACUCCGGAGUGAUAGCGUUGGAUUACAUCCAAACGGCUAAGAAUCUGGCAGAUCCCUUUACUAAAGGGCUAUCACGUGUUGUGAUAGAUAGUGCAUCGAGGGAGAUGGGUAUGAGACCCACAUGAGUUGCCAUGGCAGUAACCCAACCUAUAUGAUCGGAUAUCCCGUGAAGUAGGACCUGGGAAAACAAGCCAGUGGUGAACUGAGGAGAGUAACUUUACUAACCCACUCCAUUGGAGAUGCAAUGCUCUCAGAUAUUGUAUGGUAGGUUCACUACUGUCUUAAUGUGUUCUAAAGCUUGUGUGUAAGCAAGAUGAUGUCCUACAGAGCGAUAUUUGGAGGAACACACCUAUAUGAGCCCGAUUGCUGGUCACAGUCUAUGAGAUUGGGGUGAUCGCUAGUAAACUCAUGAAUAGGCCAGGAGUGUGACUAAUAUGCUCCACCCAAGGGGUCAGCUUUUCGGUAGCCUAGUACUAGUAAGACUUAUGGUGAAGCUUCUUUACGCCAAACUGACAAUUCAAGGCAUAGUUCAUUGUUUAGUUGUAAAGGGGUGUAGCUGCUGUUGGAAAUAUGCCCUAGAGGCAAUAAUAAAAUGGUUAUUAUCAUAUUUCCUUAUUCAUGAUAAUCGUCUAUUGUUCAUGCUAUAAUUGUAUUAACAGGAAACAGUAAUACAUGUGUGAAUAAAUAGAUCACAAUGUGUCCCUAGCAAGCCUCUAGUUGGCUAGCUCGUUAGUCAAUAGAUGAUCAUGGUUUCCUCGUCAUGGGCAUUAGAUGUCAUUGAUAACGGGAUCACACCAUUGGGAGAAUGAUGUGAUGGACAAGACCCAAUCCUGAGUGUAGCACUAGAUCAUAUUGUUCGUAUGCUAAAGCUUUUCUAAUGUCAAGUGUCUUUUCCUUCGACCGUGAGAUUGUGCAACUCCCGGAUACCGUAGGAGUGCUUUGGGUGUAUCAAACGUCACAACGUAACUGGGUGACUAUAAAGGUGCACUACGGGUACCUCUGAAAGUGUCUGUUGGGUUGGUACGAAUCAAGAUCGGGAUUUGUCACUCCGUGUGACGGAGAGGUAUCUCUGGGACCACUCGGUAGAACAUCAUCAUGAGCUCAAUGUGACUAAAGGAGUUAGUCACACGAUGACGUGCUACGGAAUGAGUAAAGAGACUUACUGGUAACGAGAUUGAACAAGGUAUAUGUAUACCGACGAUCGAAUCUCGGGCAAGUUCUAUACCGACAAACAAAGGGAAUUGUAUACGGGAUUGACUGAAUCCUUGACAUCGUGGUUCAUCCGAUGAGAUCAUCGUGGAGCAAGUGGGAGCCACCAUGGGUAUCCAGACCCCGCUGAUGGUUAUUGGCCGGAGAGGUGUCUCGGUCAUGUCUACCUGUCUUCCGAACCCGUAGGGUCUACACACUUAAGGUUCGAUGACGCUAGGGUUAUAGGGAAUUGUUAUACGAGGUUAUCGAAAGUUGUUCGGAGUCCCGGAUGAGAUCCCAGACGUCACGAGGAGCUCCAGAAUGGUCCGGAGGUAAAGAUUGAUAUAUAGGACGGAUGGUUUCGGACACCUGAAGUGUUUCGGGCGUCACAUGUAACGUACCGGGACCACCGGGACCACUGGAGGUGGCCCCGGGGGUCCACCGAAAGGGGGCAACGACCCCGGGAGGCUAGAUGGGCCAAGUGCGGGAGGGAACCAGCCCCUAGGUCGGCUGGUGCGCCCCUCACUCAGCCCAUGGCGCAAGAAGAAGGGAGAGGGGGGGAACCCUAGCGCAGGUGGGCCUAAGGCCCACUAGAAGGGUGCGCCACCCCUUCUUCCCCCCUUGGCCACCGCACCUUUCCCCAUCUAGGGCUGCCGCCCCUCCCAGGAGAGGGAAAUACUCAAGGGGGCGCAGCCCCUCCCUCCCCCUAUAUAUAGUGGGCACUUUUGGGCUUUUGGAGACACAGUUUUCCCUCUCCCUCGGCGCAGCCCUGCUCUUCUUUCUCCUCCUGUGUGCCGGUGCUUGGUGAAGCCCUGCCGGGAGACCUCGUCUCUCCAUCUACACCACGUCGUCGUGCUGCUGGAGAUAUUCCCCAACCUCUCCCUCCUCCUUGCUGGAUCAAGGUGCGGGAGACGUCACCGGGCUGCACGUGUGUUGAACGCGGAGGUGUCGUAGUUCGGCGCUAGAUCGGAAUCACACCGCGAUCUGAAUCGCCACGAGUACGACUCCAUCAACCGCGUUCUAGUAACGCUUCCACUUAGCGAUCUUCAAAGGUAUGAAGAUGCACUCACCCCUCUCUCGUUGCUGGUCUCUCCAUAGGAAUAUCUGAAUAUGCGUAGGAAAAUUUUAAAUUUAUGCUACGUUACCCAACAGUGGCAUCCGAGCCAGGUUUUCUAUGCAUAGAUUCUAUGCACGAGUAGAACACAAAAGGUUGUGGGCGAUGAUUUUUCAAUUGCUUGCCGCUACUAGUCUUAUUAUUUUCUAGCGGUAUUGUGGGAUGAAGCGGCCCGGACCGACAUUACACGUACGCUUACGUGAGACUGGUUCCACCGACAGACAUGCACACCGUGCAUAAAGGUGGCUAGCGGGUGUCUGUCUCUCCUACUCUAGUCGGAUUGGAUUUGAUGAAAAGGGUCCUUAUGAAUGGUAAAUAUCUUUGGCAUAUCAUCGUUGUGGCUUUCACGUAGGUAAGAAAGCGUUCUUGCUAGAAACCCAAAUCAGCCACGUAAAAAUUGCAACAACAAUUAGAGGACGUCUAACUUGUUUUUGCAGGGUUUGACAUGUGAUGUGAUAUGGCCAAAGUUGUGAUGUUGCAUGUAUGAUGUAUGAGAUGAUCAUGUUAUUGUAAUAGGUUUCACGACUUGCAUGUCGAUGAGUAUGACAACCGGCAGGAGCCAUAGGAGUUGUCUUAAUUUAUUGUAUGAGAUGCAACGCCAUGUGCUUACUACUUUUACUUCAUUGCUAACGGUUAGCUAUAGUAGUAGUGAUAGUAGUAGUUGGCGUGACGACUUCACGGAGACACGAUGAUGGAGAUCAUGAUGAUGGAGAUCAUGGUGUCACGCCGGUGACGAUGAUGAUCAUGCGAUGCCUAAAUAUGGAGAUCGAAAGAGCAAAGAUGAUAAUGUCCAUAUCAUGUCACUAUAUGAUUGCAUUGUGAUGUUUAUCAUGUUUUUUAUCUUAUUACUUAGAACGACGGUAGCAUAAUAAGAUGAUCCCUCUUAAAAUUUCGAGAAAGUAUUCCCCUAAGUGUGCACCGUUGCGAAGGAUCGUUGUCUCGAAGCACCACGUGAUGAUCGGGUGUGAUAGAUUCUAACGUUCGCAUACAACGGGUGUAAGCCAAAUUUACACACGUGAAACACCUAGGUUGACUCGACGAGCUUAGCAUGUACAGACAUGACCUUGAAUACAAGAGACCGAAAGGUCGAACAUGAGUCGUAUGGUUGAAUACGAUCAGCAUGAAGUUGCUCACCAUGGUGACUAGUCCGUCUCACGUGAUGAUCGGACACGGGUUAGUCAACAUGGAUCAUGUAUGACUUAGAUGACUAGAGGGAUGUCGAUUUAAGUGGGAGUUCAUACUUAAUUUGAUUAAAUGAACUUAAUUGUCAUGAACUUAGUCUAAAAGUUGUCUUUAUAAAUAUUGUAGAUGGCCAACGUCAACCUCAAUUUCAACGCAUUCCUAGAGAAAAACAAGCUGAAAGAUGAUGGUAGCAACUAUGCGGACUGGGUUCUCAACUUGAAGCUCAUCCUUGAAGCAACUAAAAAGGCUUAUGUCCUUGAUGCGCCGCUAGGUGGCCCUCCCGCUCCCGCAGCAGCCCAGGACAUUCUGAACGUCUGGCAAACACGGAGUGAUGACUACUCUCUGGUUAGGUGUGACAUGCUAUACAGUUUAGAAACGGGGCUCCAAAGGCGUUUUGAGCAACACGGUGCAUAUGAGAUGUUCCAAGAGCUGAAGCUAGUUUUUCAAGCUCAUGCCCAUGUCGAGAGAUAUGAAGUCUCCGACAAGUUCUUUAGCUGUAAGAUGGAGGAGAACAGUUCUGUCAGUGAGCACAUACUCAAAAUGUCUGGGUUACACGGUCGUCUGACUUCACUUGGAGUCGAACUUCCGGAUGAUGCUAUAAUUGACAGAAUCCUCCAGUCUCUCCCACCAAGCUACAAAGGCUUUGUGCUUAACUACAACAUGCAAGGGAUGGAGAAGACCAUUCCCGAGUUGUACUCAAUGCUCAAGUCUGCAGAAGUAGAAAUCAAGAAAGAGCAUCAAGUGUUGAUGGUCAACAAGACCACUAGUUUCAAGAAGGGCAAGGGUAAGAAGAACUUCAAGAAAGACGACAAAGCCGUUGCCACGCCCGGUAAGCCAGAUGCCGAGAAGAAGAAAAAGAAUGGACCCAAGCCUGAGACUGAGUGCUUCUAUUGCAAGGGAAGGGUCACUCGAAGCGAAACUGCCCCAAAUACUUAGCGGACAAGAAGGUCGGCAAUGUUAAAGGUAUAUGUGAUAUACAUGUUAUUGAUGUGUACCUUACCAGCGCUUGUAGUAGCUCCUGGGUAUUUGAUACCGGUGUUGUUGCUCACAUUUGCAACUCAAAGCAGGAACUGCGGAAUAAGCGGAGACUGGCCAAGGACGAGGUGACGAUGUGCGUCGGGAAUGGCUCCAAGGUCGAUGUGAUCGCCGUCGGCACGCUACCUCUACAUCUACCAUCGGGAUUAGUUUUAAGCCUUAAUAAUUGUUAUUUAGUACCAGCUUUAAGCAUGAACAUUGUAUCAGGGUCUUGCUUAAUGCGAGACGGCUACUCAUUUAAGUCAGAGAAUAAUGGUUGUUCUAUUUAUAUGAGUGAUAUGUUUUAUGGUCAUGCUCCGCUGGUGAAUGGUUUAUUCUUGAUGAAUCUCGAUCGUGAUGUUACGCAUAUUCAUAGUGUGAGUACCAAAAGAUGUAAAGUUGAUAAUGAUAGUCCCACAUACUUGUGGCACUGCCGCCUUGGUCAUAUCGGCGUUAAGCGCAUGAAGAAGUUCCAUACUGAUGGACUAUUAGAGUCUCUUGACUUUGAAUCAUUUGACACAUGCGAACCGUGCCUCAUGGGCAAGAUGACUAAGACUCCAUUCUCAGGAAUAAUGGAGAGAGCAACCGACUUAUUGGAAAUAAUACAUAUUGAUGUGUGUGGUCCAAUGAACGUUGAAGCUCGCGGUGGCUAUCGUUAUGUUCUCACUCUCAUCGAUGAUUUGAGUAGGUAUGGGUAUAUCUACUUGAUGAAGCACAAAUCUGAGACAUUUGAAAAAUUCAAGGAAUUUCAGAGUGAGGUCGAGAAUCAACGUGACAGAAAAAUUAAGUGUCUACGAUCUGAUCGUGGAGGAGAAUAUUUGAGUCACGAGUUUGGCACACACCUAAGGAAGUGUGGAAUCGUUUCACAACUGACGCCGCCUGGCACACCGCAACGCAACGGAGUGUCUGAACGUCGUAAUCGCACUUUAUUAGAUAUGGUACGAUCUAUGAUGUCUCUUACCGACUUACCGCUAUCAUUUUGGGAAUACGCAUUAGAAACUGGAGCAUUCACUUUAAAUAGGGCACCGUCUAAAUCCGUUGAGACGACACCGUAUGGACUAUGGUUUGGCAAGAAACCUAAGUUGUCGUUUCUUAAAGUUUGGGGCUGCGAUGCUUAUGUGAAGAAACUUCAACCAGAAAAGCUCGAACCCGAAGCGGAGAAAUGCGUAUUCAUAGGAUACCCUAAGGAAACUAUUGGGUAUACCUUCUACCUUAGAUCCGAAGGUAAAACCUUUGUUGCCAAGAACGGAUCCUUUCUAGAGAAAGAGUUCUCUCGAAAGAAGUAAGUGGGAGGAAGGUAGAACUUGAUGAGGUAAUUACACCCCCUCUCGAACAGGAUAGUAGCGCAGCGCGGGAAGUUGUUCCUGUGGCGCCUACACCAACUGAAGAGGAAGUUAAUGAUAAUGAUCAUGAAGCUUCGGAUCAAGUUACUACUGAACCUCGAAGGUCCACAAGGGUACGCUCCGCACCAGAGUGGUACGGCAACCCUGUAAUGGAAAUUAUGUUGUUAGACAACGGUGAACCUUCGAACUAUGAAGAAGCGAUGGCGGGCCCAGAUUCCAACAAAUGGCUUGAAGCCAUGAAAUCCGAGAUAGGAUCCAUGUAUGAGAAGAAAGUAUGGACUUUGGUGGACUUGCCCGAUGACCGGCGAGCCAUAGAAAAUAAAUGGAUCUUCAAGAAGAAGACUGAUGCAAACGGUAAUGUAACCGUUUAUAAAGCUCGACUUGUCGCAAAGGGUUUUCGACAAAUUCAAGGAAUUGACUACGAAGAGACUUUCUCUCCCGUAGCGAAGCUGAAAUCAGUCCGAAUCAUGUUAGCAAUUGCCGCCUUUUACGAUUAUGAAAUUUGGCAAAUGGACAUCAAAACAGCGUUCCUUAAUGUGAACCUAAAGGAAGAGUUGUAUAUGAUGCAACCAUAAGGUUUUGUCGACCCUAAGGGUGCUAACAAAGUGUGCAAGCUCCAGCGCUCCAUCUAUGGGCUGGUGCAAACAUCUCAAAGUUGGAACAUUCGGUUUGAUGAGGUGAUUAAAGCGUUGGGUUUCAUACAGGUUUAUGGAGAAGCCUGUCUGUACAAGAAAGUGAGUGGGAGCUCUGUAGCUUUCCUCAUACUGUAUGUGGAUGACAUAUUAUUCAUGGGCAAUGAUAUAGAGAUGUUGGAGAGCAUAAAGGCCUAUUUGAAUAAGAGUUUUUCAAUGAAGGACCUUGGAGAAGCUGCAUACAUAUUAGGCAUCAAGAUCUAUAGAGAUAGAUCGAGACGCCUCAUAGGUCUUUCGCAAAGUACAUACCUUGACAAGAUAUUGAAGAAGUUCAAUAUGGAAAACUGAAAGAAAGGGUUCUUGCCAGUUUUGCAAGGUAUGAGAUUGAGUAAGACUGAGUCGCCGACCACGACAGCAGAUAGAGAGAAGAUGAGUUAUGUCCCCUACACUUCAGCCGUAGGCUCUCUUAUGUAUGCCAUGCUGUGUACCACACCUGAUAUAAACCUUGCCACAAGUUUGGUAGGGAGGUACCAAAGUGAUCCCGGUAUGGAACACUGGACAGCGGUCAAGAAUAUCCUUAAGUACCUGAAAAGGACUAAGGAAAUGUUUCUCGCUUAUGGAGGUGACGAAGAGCUCGUCGUAAAGAGUUACGUCCACGCUAGCUUCGACACAGAUCCGGAUGACUCUAAGUCACAGACCGGAUACGUAUAUGUUUUGAAUGGUGGGGCAGUGAGCUGGUGCCGCAGCAAGCAAGAAGUCGUGGCAGCAUCUACAUGUGAAGCGGAGUACAUAGCUGCUUCAGAAGCGGCUCAUGAAGGAAUUUGGAUGAAGGAGCUCAUCACCGACCUUGGAGUGGUUCCAAGCACGUCGGGUAAAAUGACACUCUUCCGUGAUAACACUGGGGCCAUUGCCAUAGCCAAGGAGCCCGGGUUUCACUGGAAGACGAAGCACAUCAAACGCCGCUACAACUCCAUCCAGGACCAUGUCCAGAGUGGAGUAAUAGAGAUUUGUAAAGUACACACGGAUCUGAAUGUCGCUGACCCGUUGACUAAACCUCUUCCACGAGCAAAACAUGAUCAACACCACAAUGCUAUGGGUGUUCGAUACAUCACAAUGUAACUAGAUUAUUGACUCUAGUGCAAGUGGGAGACUGUUGGAAAUAUGCCCUAGAGGCAAUAAUAAAAUGGUUAUUAUCAUAUUUCCUUGUUCAUGAUAAUCGUUUAUUGUUCAUGCUAUAAUUGUAUUAGCAGGAAACAAUAAUACAUGUGUGAAUAAAUAGAUCACAAUGUGUCCCUAGCAAGCCUCUAGUUGGCUAGCUCGUUAGUCAAUAGAUGAUCAUGGUUUCCUGGUCAUGGGCAUUAGAUGUCAUUGAUAAUGGGAUCACAUCAUUGGGAGAAUGAUGUGAUGGACAAGACCCAAUCCUGAGCGUAGCACUAGAUCGUAUUGUUCAUAUGCUAAAGCUUUUCUAAUGUCAAGUGUAUUUUCCUUCAGCCGUGAGAUUGUGCAACUCCCAGAUACCGUAGGAGUGCUUUGGGUGUAUCAAACGUCACAACGUAACUGGGUGACUAUAAAGGUGCACUACGGGUACCUCUGAAAGUGUCUGUUGGGUUGGUACGAAUCAAGAUCGGGAUUUGUCACUCCGUGUGACGGAGAGGUAUCUCUAGGACCACUCGGUAGAACAUCAUCAUGAGCUCAAUGUGACUAAAGGAGUUAGUCACACGAUGACGUGCUACGAAACGAGUAAAGAGACUUACCGGUAACGAGAUUGAACAAGGUAUAGGUAUACCGACGAUCGAAUCUCGGGCAAGUUCUAUACCGACAGACAAAAGGGAAUUGUAUACGGGAUUGAUUGAAUCCUUGACAUCGUGGUUCAUCCGAUGAGAUCAUCAUGGAGCAAGUGGGAGCCACCAUGGGUAUCCAGACCCCGCUGAUGGUUAUUGGCUGGAGAGGUGUCUCGGUCAUGUCUACAUGUCUUCCGAACCCGUAGGGUCUACACACUUAAGGUUCGAUGACGCUAGGGUUAUAGGGAAUUGUUAUACGAGGUUAUCGAAAGUUGUUCGGAGUCCCGGUUGAGAUCCCGGACGUCACGAUGAGCUCCGGAAUGUUCCGGAGGUAAAGAUUGAUAUAUAGGACGGAUGGUUUCGGACACCGGAAGUGUUUCGGGCGUCAACGGUAACGUACCGGGACCACCGGAGGUCGCCCCGGGGGUCCACCGGAAGGGGGCAACGACCCCGGGAGGCUAGAUGGGCCAAGUGCGGGAGGGAACCAGCCCCUAGGUGGGCUGGUGCGCCCCCACCCCCACUCAGCCCAUGGCGUAAGAAGAAGGGAGGGGGGAACCCUAGCGCAGGUGGGCCUAAGGCCCACCAGAAGGGUGCGCCACCCCUCCUUCCCCCCUUGGCCGCCACACCUUUCCCCAUCUAGGGCUGCUGCCCCUCCCAGGAGAGGGAAACCCUCAAGGGGGCGCAGCCCCUCCCUCCCCCUAUAUAUAGUGGGCACUUUUGGGCUUUUGGAGACACAGUUUUCCCUCUCCCUCGGCGCAGCCCUGCUCUUCUUUCUCCUCCUCUCUGCUGGUGCUUGGCGAAGCCCUGUCGGGAGACCUCGUCUCUCCAUCGACACCACGCCGUCGUGCUGUUGGAGAUCUUCCCCAACCUCUCCCUCACCUUGCUGGAUCAAGGUGCGGGAGACGUCACCGGGCUGCACGUGUGUUGAAUGCGGAGGUGCCUUAGUUCGGCGCUAGUUCGGAAUCACACCGCGAUCUGAAUCGCCGCGAGUAUGACUCCAUCAACCGCGUUCUAGUAACUCUUCCGCUUAGCGGUCUUCAAAGGUAUGAAGAUGCACUCACCCCUCUCUCGUUGCUGGUCUCUCCAUAGGAAGAUCUGAAUAUGCGUAGGAAAUUUUUGAAUUUAUGCUACGUUACCCAACAACUACUUGUUCUAGGUGAAGCUUGCUACGGCAACAAAAGUCCUUCCCUGGCACUUAGGAAUUCUUCUUGUUACUUCUAUGGUUUGCGUCGGUUUUUCCCUUGAAGAGGAAAGGGUGAUGCAACACAGGAGCAGUAAGUAUUUCCCUCAGUUUGAGAACCAAGGUAUCGAUCCAGAAGGAGGGCCUCGUCAAGUCCAAAGUACCUGCGCAAACACAAACAAGCUUGCACCCAACGCUUCAAAGGGGUUGUCAAUCCCUUCAAGAUUGUUUGCAAAGUGAGAUCUGAAGGCGGAAAGUGCAACGAAGUAAAAAGUGUAAGGCUGAAAAUAUGGUGUGGAGUAGACCCUGGGGGCCAUAGUGUUCACUAGAGGCUUCUAUCAUAAUAGCAAAUAUCACGGUGGGUGAACAAAUUACUGUCGAGCAAUUGAUAGAACCGCGCAAAUCAUGACGAUAUCUAAGGCAAUGAUCAUACAUAUAGGCAUCACGUCCGAGAUAAGUAGACCGAUACUUUCUGCAUCUACUACUAUUACUCCACACAUCGACCGCUAUCCAGCAUGCAUCUAGUGUAUUGAGUUCAUGACGACCACAAUCAUGAACUUUCAAAAUAACAAGGCCAAAGAUAGUUAUCCCUACAAAAUCAUAUAGUUUGUCUAUGCUCCAUCAUCCUCACACAACUAAUGUAAAUCAUGCACAACCCCAGAAUUGGCCAAGUAAUUGUUUUCGCACUCUUACUUUCUCGAACCUUUUAUAACUAUCACGCAAUACAUGAGCGCGAGCCAUGGAUAUAGCACUAUAGGUGGAAUAGAGUGUGGUGGUGGUUGUGAGACAAAAAAGGAGGAGAUGGUCACACUGACUCGGCGUAUCAAUAGGCUAUGAAGAUGCCCAUUAAUAGAUAUCAAUGUGAAUGAGUAGGGAUUGUCAUACAAGAGAUGCACUAGAGCUAUAAGUAUGGGAAAGCUCAAGAGGAAAACUAGUGGGUGUGCAUCCAACUUGCUUGCUCACGAAGACCUAGGGCAAUUUUGAGGAAGCCCAUCAAUUGAAUAUACAAGCCAAGUUAUAAAACGAAGAUUCCCACUAGCAUAUGGUAGUGACAAAGCAAGAAGCUCUCAAUCAUGAAGAACAUGGUGCUAUCAUGAAGUACAAGUGUGGAAAAAGAUAGUAGCAUUGUCCCUUCUCUCUUUUUCUCUUUUUUUUAUUUGGGCUCUUAGGCCUCUUUUUUCUUUUCUUUUCUCUUUUUUUGUUUUUGGGCUCUUUGGCCUUUUUUUUAUUUCCUCACAUGGGACAAUGCUCUAAUAAUGAUGAUCAUCACACUUUUAUUUACUCGCAACUCAAAGAUCGCAAUGAUGAUGACUCCAUAGGAAAUGCCUCCGGCAGUGUACGGGGAUGUGCAACGAUCUAGCAUGGCGUAUGACGUUGAAACAUCUCGCUGGCUAUCUUACGAUCAUGCAAUGGCAAUAUGAGAGUGACGGCACAAGUCAUGAGACGGAACGGUGGGAGUUGCAUGGCAAUAUAUCUUGGAAUGGCUAUGAAAAUGCCAUAGUAGGUAGGUAUGGUGGCUGUUUUGAGGAAGGAAUUUGGUGGGUUUGUGCACCGGCGAGAAUUGCGCGGCACUAGAGAGGCUAGCAAUGGUGGAAGGUGAAAGUGCAUCUAUACGAUGGACUCACAUUAGUCAUGAAGAAAUCACAUACUUAUUGCGAAAGUUUUUAUUAGUAAUAGAAACAAAGUGCUAAACGCAUACUCCGAGGGGAAGGGUUGGUAGGUGUAAACCAUCGCGCGAUCCCGACCUCAACACAAAGGAUAGAAAUCAAUAGAUCAAUGAUGCUCCGACUUCCUAACAUAGCGGUUCACCAUACGUGCAUGCUACGGGAAUCACUAACUUCAACACAGGUAUUUCUAGAUUCACAACACCCUACUUACAUAACUCUUAAUAUUACCAAAUCCACGUCUCAAAACUAAUUGAGAGGAAUCAAAACUUCUCUUUCUACUCAAUGCACAUGAAGAUGGAGGUUUUUGCAUCCUCUUUGGGCACCUAUCACAUUUGGGACUACUUUCAUAGCAUAAGCCAACUACCAAAUCACGCACCGCCGUGCUCUAAAGAUAUAAGUGAAGCACAAGAGCAAACAUAUCUAGCUCAAAAGAUAUAAGUGAAGCACUAUGAGCAUUCUAGCAAAAUCACGAUGAGUGCAUGUCUCUCUCUCUCAAAAAGGUGUGCAGCAAGGAUGAUUGUGACACAACAAAAAGAAAAGACUCCUAAGAUACAAGACGCUCCAAGCAAAACACAUAUCAUGUGGUGAAUAAAAAUAUAGCUCCAAGUAAUGUUACCGAUGGAUUGAAGACGAAAGAGGGGAUGCCUUCCCGGGGCAUCCCCAAGCUUAGGCUUUUUGUUGUCCUUGAAUUUGGCUUGGGAUGCCUUGGGCAUCCCCAAGCUUGAGCUCUUUCCACUCCUUAUCUCUUUGUCCAUGAGAACAUCACCCAAAACUUGAAAACUUCACAACACAAAACUUAAACAGAAACUUGUGAUAACAUUAGUACAAGAAAACAAACUACCACUUCUUUUGGUACUAUAGCAAACUUGAAUUCCAUCUAUAUUGAUGAUGGGCUACUGUACUCUCACUUUUCCAUGGCUAGUACCCCCCGAUACUAACCAUAGUUUCAUCAAAACAAGCAACCAACUCAACAAAAACAGACCAGUCUGUAGCAAUCUGUAUACUUCGUAUACUUCUGGUAUCUCACAAAACCUGGAAAUUACGACGGUCUGGGGAAAAAGCAUAUGAAUCAGCAGCAAAAAGAAUCAACUCAAAAUCUCUUUCUGAAUAAAAAUGAAAAAUCAUAUCGUGAGGGAAAAGUUUCUGUCUUUUUCCAGCAGGAUCAAACAACCAUUACCAAGACUAAUCAUAAAGGUUUUGCUUGGCUCAAACACAAAAAGAAACACAAAAAACACAAUCAAAACAGAAUUAUGAAAGUGUGGACGCAACAAAACAGAAAGAAAAAUAUAAAUUCAUUGGGUUGCCUCUCAACAAGCGCUAUUGUUUAACGCCCUUAGCUAGGCAUUGAUAAAUCGAUGAUGCUCACACAAAAGACAAGAAUUGAAGCACAACGAGAGCAUCAUAAAGCAUGUGAAAAUCACAUCUAAGUCUAACAUACUUCCUAUGCAUAGGCAUUUUAUAGGAAAACAAGUUGUCAAGACAACCAAUAGUUGCCAUAUGCAAGGAAGAAGAAAGAGACAAUAGCAAUCUCCACAUAACGAGAGGUAAAUUGGUAACAUGAAAGUUUCUACCACAAUAUUUUCCUCUCUCAUAGCAAUUACAUGUGGGAUCAUAAUCAAAUUCAACAAUGUAACUAUCACAUAGGAUAUUCUUUUCAUGAUCCACAUGCAUGCAAGUUGACGCUCUUUAAAAAUAGUGGGAUUAUCAUCAACUAAAGUCAUGACUUCUCCAAACCCACUUUCAAUAAUAUUGCAAAUAUCAUAUUCAUCAUGAGGCUUAAACAAAUUUUCAAGAUCAUAAGAAAAAUCAUCGCCCCACUCAUAAUCAUUGCAACAAGUAGUGGACAUAGCAAAACUAGCAUCCCCAAGCUUAGGGUUUUGCAUAUUUUUAGCAUGAUUGUCACUAAUAGAAUUUAUGGUGAAACCAUUGCAAUCAUGAUUUUCAUCCAAGGAGCCCUCGUGAAUCACUUCAUAAAUUUCUUCCUCACAAUUUUCAGAUUCACGCAUCUCAAGCAAAACUUCAUAAAGAUAGUCAAGUGCACUCAACUCACUAGCAAUUGGAUCAACAUAAUUGGAUCUCUUAAAGAGAUUAGCAAGUGGAUGAGGAUCCAUAUCACUAGAUUUUAAGCAAACGAAGAUGCAAGCAUAUUGAAUGCACAUGGCACACAAAUGAACAGAAAGCAAGCGAGAGAAAAGGGUGAACGAAAAAGACAAAUGAAAAAAUGCAAACGAAAAAGGCAAAUUGUGAAGUGGGGGAGAGGAAAACGAGAGGCAACUCGCAAACAAAGUAAAUGCAAGAGAUGAGUUUGCGACACCUACUUGGAUGAGUUCUUGACUUGAUCUUCCUCCCCGGCAACGGCGCCAAAAAUUCUUCUGCUACGGCAACAAAAGUCCUUCCCUGGCGUUUAGGAAUUCUUCUUGUUACUUCUCUGGUUUGCGUCGGUUUUUCCCUUGAAGAGGAAAGGGUGAUGCAGCACAGGAGCAGUAAGUAUUUCCCUCAGUUUGAGAACCAAGGUAUCGAUCCAGAAGGAGGGCCUCGUCAAGUCCAAAGUACCUGCGCAAACACAAACAAGCUUGCACCCAACGCUUCAAAGGGGUUGUCAAUCCCUUCAAGAUUGUUUGCAAAGUGAGAUCUGAAGGCGGAAAGUGCAACGAAGUAAAAAGUGUAAGGCUGAAAAUAUGGUGUGCAGUAGACCCUGGGGGCCAUAGUGUUCACUAGAGGCUUCUAUCAUAAUAGCAAAUAUCACGGUGGAUGAACAAAUUACUGUCGAGCAAUUGAUAGAACCGCGCAAAGUCAUGACGAUAUCUAAGGCAAUGAUCAUGCAUAUAGGCAUCACGUCCGAGACAAGUAGACCGAUACUUUCUGCAUCUACUACUAUUAGUCCACACAUCGACCGCUAUCCAGCAUGCAUCUAGUGUAUUGAGUUCAUGACGAACAGAGUAACGCUUUAAGCAAGAUGACAUGAUGUAGAGGGAUAAUCUCAAACCAAUGAUGAAAACCCCAUCUUUUUACCCUUGAUGGCAACAACACGAUGCGUGCCUCGCUACCCCUUAUGUCACUGGGUGAGGUCACCGCACGGUAUGAAGCCAAAACCAAGCACUUCUCCCAUUGCAAGAAUCAUAGAUCUGGUUUGCCAAACAAAACCCACAACUCGAAGAGAAUUACAAGGAUAUGAAAUCAUGCAUAAGAGAGAUCAGAAGAAACUCAAAUAAGAUUCAUAGAUAAUCUGAUCAUAAAUCCACAAUUCAUCGGAUCUCGACAAACACACCGCAAAAGAAGAUUACAUUGGAUAGAUCUCCAUGAAGAUCAUGGAGAACUUUGUAUUGAAGAUCCAAGAGAGAGAAGAAGCCAUCUAGUUACUAGUUAUGGACCCGUAGGUCUAUGGUGAACUACUCACGCAUCAUCGGAGAGGUCAUGGUGUUGAUGAAGAAGCCCUCCGUGUUCGAAUCCCCCCUCCGGCAGGGCACCAGAAUGUGCCCCAGAUGGGAUCUUGCGGAGACAGAAGCUUGCGGCGGCGGAAAAGUACUUUCGAUGAUCUCUUGAUUUUUUCUGGAAUUUAUGGGAUUAUAUAGGCGAAAGAUCUAGGUCAGGGGACCUCCAGGGGGCCCACAAGCUUGGAUGGCGCACCCCCCUGGCCGCGGGGUGGGAGCUUGUGGGGCCCCUGGAGCUCCUCUAGCAUGGCUCCAAGUUCUCCGAUCUUCUUCCGUUCCAAAAAAAAUCUUUUCGGGGAUUUUCUUCCGUUUGGACUCCGUUUCAAAAUCUCCUCUGAAAGGGGUCAAAAACAUGGAAAAAAACAGGAACUGGCACUUGGCACUGAGUUAAUAAGUUAGUCCCAGAAAAUAUAUAAAAGGCAUGCAAAACAUCCAAAGUUUGACAAGAUAAUAGCAUGAAACCAUCAAAAAUUAUAGAUACGUUGGAGAUGUAUCAAAGCUCAACCUUAACAGGUCUUUACUGAACUGCUGGUAUGUCAAAACAGUGAUUGAAACGAAGGAACACAAUGUGCCAUUGAGAUCUGGUGGGGGAUUGUUGAAAUCUGUGAUGGGCCUUAGGCCCAUAAGAGAAUUUCGGAAACCUCCAAGGGCCCAUGUAGGCGGUGGCAUGACAAGGUGGUGGUGGGAAGUUUAGUCCCACCCCGCUAGUGGAGAAGAAGUUGGACCCCUUUACAACGGUCUCUCUUCUACAUGCUAUUGAAGAGUGAGAAGAUAAGAGGCCCUCGCGCACUCCUCCUCCGCCGCCCGCCUCGCCACGACGCGCCGCGGGAAUGAGCCAAGCCGAGCUCAUACCUACGCGCUUAUUUUUGCCGGUCAAGAACGAAGAAUACGCAACGAAUGCACCACGAUCUGAGACGUCAGAUCGUGGGUUGUUACCGACUCGGACGGGGGUUCAGCCCACGUCUCUCCAUCCGGCCGCCUAUAUAAGCAGGGCUAACGUCAACCCUAGCCGUCACAAGAUCAUAUCGCCUCUGCCUCACGCGCUCGUUACUUUUGCUGCUACUGCCGUCGGCGACUCCGUCCCGUUCACCGCGUACACAGUCGACGGGAGAGCAGGCCUCCAAAACCCCGCCUCUCCGGAUACUGUACGAGAGAGGGGCGAUUAGGUUUUCGGGCAGCGAUCACGCGACUGCUCGACUCCGUCCGUUUGUUUCGUCUACGUCCGCGUCUCCCUUGUCACUGCCAUGUCUUCGCCAAGAGAAGCUGGCUGUCUCCUCCUCGAGAAGGCCGAAGGCCAUGUCUUCGCCAAGCGAAGCUGGCCGUCUCCUCCUCGAGAAGGCCGAAGGCCAUGUCUUCGCCAAGCAAAGCUGGCCGUCUCCUCCUCGAGAAGGCCGAAGCGGAGAAGAAGGCGGCAGAGGAUGCCGUCGCCGCCAAUGCUGCUGUUACGGCCAAGUGGCCAAUCGGAGGGUAUAACCUAUUUAUCCCGCUCAUGUUUAUUUUUGCCCUAAUGGUACUAGCUAUAUGGGUAGAUGUUUCUGCUAUAUGCAUAGUAAUUGCUAGUAUCCUCUGUGAUUUGUAUGUCAUGAAUCUAGUCAAUGUCAUGUUAGUAAUUAUUUCAUGGAUUAAUCUACUCGGAAAAUUGACUAUUUAGUCAACAGUAUCUAGACCAUCAGAUCGAAGAAGAAUGGACAAGACGACCUAGGCACUGUAGAGUUUUGUUGUAGAUUUCAAAAAUACUAUGAUGUUUUUUUUAAUCAAACAAUCCUAUGCGUUCAUUUGGUGAAUUGAUGAAUGAGAUCCAUCCAAUGGUAGAAUGGGAUUUUUUCACGAUUUUGACCCAUGGGAUGAAAGUAUUGCACGGAAUGAACUCUGAUUGAAAACAUUUCACGAUCUGAUUUUUUUUAAACGCCAGAGCCCGUGGCGUUGCAGACGCACAUAGAAACGCCAAUGUAAUGUGGCGUUGCAGACCCACUCAAACGCCAGUCUAAUGUGGCGUUGCAGACCCACUCAAACGCCAGUCUAUGUGACGUUGCAAGCCACGCGUGAAACGCCAUGGUCCAUGGUGUUUCAUCAGUACACAUGUUGCUAGCAGCAUGCCGUGGGCUGGCUGGAUGUCGUCGCUGCGUUCCAUAGUGGGUCUGCAACGCCAGCACUGUUGGCGUUUCACAAUGGGCCUGCAACGCCACAUUAGACUGGCGUUGCAAGAAAGAAAUAACGCCACGGUAGACAGGCGUGUCACUGUUGGGCAGCAACACCAGCACUGUUGGCGUUUCACAGUGGGCCUGCAACGCCACUUUAGACUGGCGUUGCAAAAAAGAAAAAACGCCACAGUAGACAGGCGUGUCACUGGAGGGCAGCAACGCCAUGGUAGACAGGCGUUGCAUAGUGGGCAGCAACGCCACGGCUUGUGGCGUUUCUAAAAAGGUCAGAUCGUGAAAUGCUUUCAAAUCUGGUUCAUUUUGUGCUCAUGUUUAGAAAAAAGGUAAAAACAGUGAAAAAAUCCGGUAGAAUGCUCUAGGUCUGUACCAUCUUUUCUUCUGAACAAUCAUUUUUGUUAACACUAACCAUCUCUUCGAUCAACGUUGAAUAGAUCAUUGGUGCGGAUUCUCCACCAUGUGUUCUGGAUAAUCGAAUUUAAGUUUACAGAUUCAUGACGUGGCAGCUGCGACCUGUGAGCCUUUCGACAAAGAAAGUUCCACUUCACUACUGGGCAUGCCAUUGACAACAGGGCAUCACUGAGUUGUCUAAAGCUGAAUGUGCUCUCCCAACCCAGCCCACCCUGGUGCUCGUGUUAAUCUUUUCUAAAUCAAAAUGAUGCCGUUGUUGCUUAGGUUGGUUUUGUAGUUCCCGAGGACUUGAGCUGCACAUGUACUCCCUCUGUUCCUUUUUCUUUUUUGAGACUUCACUAAGUAACUAAUUCCUCCGUUCUUAAAUACAAGUAUUUUUAAAGAUUUCAUUAAAAGACUACAUACAGAUUUAUAUAGACAUGGUUUAGAGCGUAGAUUCAUUUAUUUUGUUUCAUAUGUAGUCUUCUAGUAAAAUCUUUAAAAAAAACUUAUAUUUAGAAAUGGAGGGAGUAUAUACAAAGAAAAAUUAGUGAAUCUAUAUUUUAAAGUAUGUCUAUAUAUAUUCAUAUGUUUUUUUAAUGAAACCUUUAUAAAGACUUAUAUGUAAAAACGGAGGGAGUAUGUACAUAGUCUGCCUUUGUUCAAUUUGGAUGUCAACUCUCCCUUGGCCAUUGAUUUUUAGACAUUAUUAAGGAAAAUACUUAAUAUAUAAUGGUAUAUCAUGACUUCUGUUGCCAAAUUCAGCAGCAUAUUUUUCAUUUGGAAAAAUUAAAGAAUUAUAUAUUUGCAUUAUUUGCCUACUUUCAUUUGCUUUAGCACAUUGGGUUAGUAGAAUCAUUUCGAGUAGCCAUAAAUAUUUUAAGACGCGGUUGAAAAUAUACGGUACCCACAUUUAAGCAUAUAUCUGCGGUCAAAAGAUUGUCAUGCAUGCAUUCCAAAGCUCUGGGCACCAUACAUUUGUCAAAUAGUACUCCAGUAUUAUGGAAAUUCUGAAGAACAUGCAUUAUUCCAUAAGCGGACAGACCACACGUCAGCUAGCUUCUCUCAGUAGUUCAAAUCGUGCCUUAUAGUCCUUUCAUCCCCCCCCCCCCCUGNAGCUAGCUAGCUAGCUUCCGUCGCCGACGUCGACUCCUGCGAGGACGAGCAGGGCGACCGCCAGGACGGACGGGGCGGCGUCAGGGGAAGGGCGGCCGACGUUCGGGAACGUUCGAGGCGACGUAUGAUGUACAUGUACAACGAACGCGGAAGUUUCUGUGGCAGUUGGACUCCCGCCAACUGCUUUCUCUCGAUACAGGCCACCGUCGAAACGGACGCGAAAACUGUGUUUUUGUAAAUCAGGAGAAGCCUUUUACCACGUCCCGUAAAAAAUUUACGGAUCUAUCGCGUUUGCAUGAUCUGAUCGGACAGUUUUUGUCGCGUGAACCUGUAUUUUAAUUGUUAUUUUCAGGGACGAAUCUAGGGGGGUGGGAGGGGGGCUAGUGGCUGUUGUAGCAAAAAGAAAUUCAUUUCAUAUGAACUUUUCCCCUUCCAUGAACAAACUUCCCGCCUUAUACAUGCAUGAUGGUUCUGUCCCUGGUUAUUUUAUACUCCCUCCGUUUCUAAAUAUAAGUCUUUUAAGAGAUUUUAAUAGGGGUCUAUAUACGGAGUAAAAUGAAUGAAUCUACACUCUAAAAUAUGUCUAUAUACAUCCAUAUAUAGCGAAUAUUGCUUUUGGCUCUGGAGCUCACUAGAGGCCUUUAAAUUCAAACUUCAAAUUCAGUGAAAAUUUGUAUUUUAAUGUUUCAAAAAAUUCUGAAAAAAAUACAUAGAUAAAUGAAGGUAUAAUACACAAGUGUGUAAAUUUUCAGAACAAAAUACAUUGAAAUGUGGGCUGUGCAAAAAAGACAAAUCUGAGGCUGUUUAACACAUGUUACUAUUCAUCAUUUCAGACCAUGAAUUUGUCUUUUUUAUACAGAUCACGUUUUAAAGUAUUUUGACCUGAAAUUUUACACACACAUGUCGGUUACAUCCUUACAUACAUGCAUAUUUUUUUUCAGAAUUUUUUGAACCAUAAAAAUUUGAAUUUGAAUUUUUCAAAAAUAAAAGCCUCCGUGGCUCCCGGGAGCCAAAACGUCAUUCUCCAUAUAUAGUCCACUAGUAGAACCUCUAGAAAGACUUAUAUUUAGAUACGCACGGAGUAGAUGGGGCAUUAUCAAUAAUGCUAGACAUACAAAAACUUACAAAGGUUUACUCAACCUUUCAAACUAACUCUUCUCUCCCCCCUGAUUUUCAGUAAGGGUGGGGCCCCUCAUCCUUCAAUUACCAAUCACAAUCUUAUACAUCAGUUUAUACGUAAAAUCUUUACGUAAGCCUUUGUAUGUGUAACAUUACUCGGGCAUUAUAGGUGGUGUGCUAGCCUCUUACCCGAGCGGGUACCUACCCCUACGUGGCCUUCUUUGUCCGCGCGCGCGCACACAGUACACAAUGCGCGCACCAAUUAUCCGCAACAACGGCCGGCCCCCGGACCCACUAUGAGCUUCUGUUGUAACCGCCGGUAUGAUCCGUCUCGCCUGGCUCGUCCUAUAAAUAGGGCGCGGCGCCUGGCCAUGGAAGAUAUCUCUCCAUCCGCACACAUCUUGCACUACUACUUGCUAGAUACGCACCUGUCUCGCAGUUGACGCUAGCUAGCUUACCUAGCUCCAUCCGCACACAUCCAUGGCGGCUCGCAUCGGCGCUGUCGUGCUCUGCAUGUUCUUGAUCGUUAGCGCGGGGCUGGUAGCCACGCCGGCCGAAGCUCGCGCCGUGCCGGAGGCCGUCUACGCCGCCGCGGUCGCCAAUGCAGCCGGCGGCGGUGGCGUCCGUCGUGGGAGGUGGAACAGCGCGAGGAGGCUGGAGGGUGACGCCGCCCGGAAGCGGGAGGUGCCCGGCGGCCCGGACCCGCAGCACCAUCACUAGAGAAAGUGUGUGAUCAGCUGCGACGUGCCAGGCCAACGUACGUACGUACAUAAUGCAAAUGAACUCCCGUGGAGCGUCGGAUUUGGGUCAGUAUUUGAAGAAAGUACAGUUUGCAUUUGGUUCAGGGAGCCGUGUGUGUUGCCGCUCCGUUCAUUUAAUUUGCGUACUUUAUAUGAACGCAAAAAUGGUAGUACGACCGAGUUGUAAUAAGCAAACGCAGAUAAUAAUACUUCUGUGUUUGCAAUGAUCUACUGUAUCGGUGAAGACUGGAUUGUUCCUUUUUAAUUAGCCUGGUCAUCUCCUACGUGGUGUUUGGAUAAUAUAUUGUUCCUAACGUACGGUGUCGAUCGCGACCUUUCACUUGAGAGGUUGAUCAUGGCAUCAUGCACGAUGAACGUCUGCAUGCGGAUCUACUUUUGUGGUCGGCCGACGCACAUUAUUUUGUUUUAUAUUUAAAAAAAUAAGUACGUGCAACUUUCCAGUGAGUGUGACCGUAAACCGACUGUAAUCACGAACCGCUACCCCAUGAUACAUGAGGUUAGCAAAAUUAAAAUUCAAAAGACUGUAAUCACGAACCGCCAAUGGGAUCGGCGGCGCGUCAUCUGGCUCAUCGUGGUAGGCUCAGAAAGACCAGUGAGUAGUGGAGAGAUAUACUUUCCAUCAAGAUCGGCGAACGGGCGGAACAACGGAACGAGAGCCUGGGCUGGGGCCGACGGCAUGGUGCGGAUCGAGCAUGGCAGCCGUCUUUCCUACACGGAAUCCCCUCCAGCUCGCUUCAUCCUUGUGCAUAAAAUGCAUGCCACGGCCUAUAGUAUAUAGACAUAUUUUAAAAUAUAGAUUUAUUUUAAUUUAUUUUAUAUGUAAUCUGUAGCAGAUCUAAAAAAAUAUAUAUUAGAAAACGGAGGGAGUAGCUUUUGAUUUAGGUUAUUCCGUUCAUACAUAAUUUAUCCAAAAUUAAUCUUUAAAAUCCUGCAGGAACGCGCGGGGAAACCACCUUGUUUAUUGAAUCAUCUAGUUCAACUUCUUCCUCCAUUUGGAACUGAUAUCAUAGGGGGAGUGGGGGUGCUGCUUAAACUACUCCCACCUUCAUGUUCACGUGGUCUAUAAGAACUUGCACGUCCUUGAUGUGAAAGAAAAUCACAACUUUGUAGCCCUCGUGAGCGCAACCUCUCUUUCUAUCAAGGUGGUUGUCAUCAUGCGAGCAAGGUAGUGGUGGGCGGCAGGGAAGCACUCUGGCUUGACGGUUGAUUCAACCUUGUGGUGUGUGUCCUCCUCGACCGAGUCGAACCACAACCAAGCUCUUUCCCAGAAUUUUCUCUCGGCAUGGUCCUCUUCAAUUUCGUCGGGGAAAGGUCCACAAGGAGGGCUCGACCACCGUGACAUGGUGGAUGAAUGGGGUGAGUGUGUCCGCAAAGGAGAAGAUGGGUGAGGAGUAGCACCAAUGGACAAGGAAGAUGCAUCAAGAGUGGCGUUGUCGAGUGGGGUGGGCCGGUUUGUAUACCCACGAAUGGGCACACUCUGGUGUGAAACGAGGAUGAAUUUGAUGUGUACAUGUGGAAAUGGGUGUGAAACGUGGUGACGGCUAUUAAGAGCAUCUCCAGCUGCACCCCCAACAGGCCUCCUGGGCGUGUUCUUUUCCGCCGGCGUUGAGAAAUUGCCCCAGUUGUGCCCCUGGGACAUCGAUUUUCGCCGGUUGGGCCCAUUUUCUGGCCCGACGAUCCCAGGCCGAACCCAGUGCACCGGGAGGCGCUUGGGGGCUCCGGCGUAACGGAAAAUGGCGUGUGGGCCGCCACUGUUAUGCAAAAACGGUUUUCCACCUCCAGAUCCCCUCCGCCCGCGCACUAGACCUUUCAUCGCCUUGCCGAUCCCGACAACGCCCACCUACAUACCGUCGCUAGAAAGGCCAUCUCCCCGACGAGAAAGGGAGAGUUCGCUGCGGCUUCGCCCCCUUGCUUCUGGGCAAGCUUUUUCGAUGCUCUGGCCACGCACGCGGGCGCGUGUCUGCCACGCCCGCCACGUGUUCGGCGAUGGACUCUGACGACGAGGAGGCAUUCGUGGCGUUGCUGGAGGAGGAAGCCGAUGCUGACGCCCAGGACGAAGAGCACCUCAGGGUCCUCGCCGCUCUGGCCGGCCAGUUCGGGAGCAACGCAAAGCCGCGGCGAGGUGGCUCGACGUCGGGUCGACUGAAGGAAAAAACAGAGGCAUCGACUGGAAGGCUAUUACUUGCUCUACACCAACUACUUCGUCGACACUCCUCUACAUGGUGACAAAGUACUUCGGCGCCAUUAUCGGAUGAGCCAGAAGCUCUUCCUCAGGAUUGUGAAAUCCAUCACGGAGUUCGACAAUUGCUUCAAGUGCAAAAAGAAUUGCACCGACACAUUUGGAUUCACCUCACUCCAGAAGUGCAUGGCAUCUAUGGGGAUGCUUGCAUAUGGAGCUCCCGGUGAUAUUCUGGAAGACUAUAGACGCAUGGACGAGUCCACCAUCAUUGAGUCUUUGUACAAGUUCUGCAGGGCAAUGGUGGCAGUGUUUGGACCUCAAUACUUGCGAUCACCCAAUGCUGAAGACACUGCUCGGAUCCUAGCACAGAAUGCAGCAAGAGGAUUUCCUAUGAUGCUUGGAAGUAUCGAUUGCGUGCAUUGGAAAUGAAAAAACUAUCCAUUUUCUUGGCAGAGGAUGUACAAAGGCGUCAAAGGAGGUUGCAAUGUGGUACUUGAGGCAGUGGCCACAUAGGACCUCUGGAUUUGGCACUCCUUCUUUGGUAUGCGAGGAACUCAUGAUGACAUCGACGUACUGCAGUGCUCAAAUGUCUUUGCCAUGCUUGUUGAAGGUCAUGCUCCCCCGAUUAACUACGCGGUCAAUGGACGCCACUACAACAAGGGAUACUACCUAGGAGAUGGCAUAUAUCCGAGAUGGUCCACAUUUAUGAAGAUUAUCUCAAACCCUGGCCAGGAGGCAAGAACUCCUACUUUGCCAAUCGCCAGGAAGUUUACAGGAAGGAUGUCGAACGGGCAUUUGGUGUGCUUCAAUCUCGAUUUGCUGUUGUCCGGCACCCCGCUCAGACCUUGUCAAAAGAUCAAAUGUGGGAAGUCAUGACUUGUUGUGUCAUCUUGCACAACAUGAUCACUGAGAGCUAGCAGGAAGAGCUAGUGUUCGACAGUGAACCAUAUUACAGCAGGGCCCUCUUGCCCAAGUUGAUCACUAGCUACCGACAACCUGGACUGGCUUCCUCAACAUGCGUCAGGAGAUCCGAGACUCACAGGUGCAUCAACAACCGCAUCACAAUUUGGUGGAGCACCUAUGGAGGCUCAAGGGCAACGCCUAGCUCGAUGUGCGGUGAAUUAUGAGUUUUUUAUUUGUUGAACCAUUUUUAUUUGUAUUGAUUUCUGCGAUGAACUAUGUGAUGAAAAAUAAGCAUUUUCUGAAUUUCUGCCGAAGCACGCUGAAUAUGGGCCAAAAUUAAUAGAAUUUUGCAUCAAAAGUGGCCCAAUUGCGCCGAAAGGUGACCAAAAUCGGCGGUUAUGGGCAACCUUGGGGGGGGGACUAGAAACCCAAGGUCCCCCACGCCGAUUUUUUCACCGACGCACCCCGAGGCGACGCUAUUCCUAGUGAAAAAGAGGUUGCGAGCAGCAAAAGUGGAGGCGGCAACCAUACUAAUGGUUGUGACAUUAGAAAGAGUACGCGUCGGAGGAAGAAAAUAGACUAAACCUCCCUCCGGCCUGGGUGAAUGGAUUUGGAGCUCGAUUCAUACCAGCGCUAGACUCCAAAGCUCCAAAAAAUUGGAGACCUAGGCCGAUAUGGCGACUCUUUUUUCACACCUCGAAUGUCAGCAAACAUUUGUUAUGGCAAUUUCUUGACUCGGUUAGAGUUAGUUGCUCUUAGUAAAGUUACCAUGUAACACAAUUCUCACUUCCAUGUACGUCAUAUCAAACAUGUGGACGGAGGGAAGCAUGUUUUCCAAUCAGUGGCUUGCCCACAUUGAAGUUACAGGUUAGGCAAUUGAGGACAUCAAGCUAUAUGAUCUUUCAAUUUUACCCAUGGUUAUGAGUACCCAUCGCAACCUCACCCUCAUGGGCAUGUUUUGGACACAUUUUUGUGGCUAUGGGUACCAUUCGAACCAUUGCCUGGUUAGUCAUGGAUAUAGUAUGGGUACACUUUUUUUCGAAUGGGUAUGUACGAACCCGACCUGACAAGCUGCGAUGUGGGGCCAUACUAUUGUUUCCGUUCUCAAACUAUUAAAGUCAUACACAUUAAUCGUGUGAUGUGUGUUUAUGCAUGAAGCCUUUUGUUCAAAUUCUUGAAGUCCUUUGUUUAAGCUACUAAACUAAUUUUAUUUGACCAUGCCAUUAGUCUGAGUUGAGUUUCUUAUUUCGGUAAAAAAAUACUACUGAAUGCCAAUAUAUUUCAAUAAGUAUGUUGAGCUGCCUGUUGGAUACCAAUCAGGCAAUUGCCCCUCGAGUACGGUCAUGAGCAUGGUUUUGCGCCUCUCGGUAUGGGUGUGGGAUUGUUGUACUCAACCCAUUGCCAUCCUUAUGGAUGAUUUUCGAUUUUCAUUAUUUUCACUAGUAGUAUUGCAUAGUUUGUAAUUUUAUUUAGUUUUAUUAGUUUCCAUUGUUUUUUCGUGUGUACAUGUGUUUUGGAGUAACAUAGAACCCAGCACGAUGAAAAGGCAAAGGAUGGGUUCAAUAUAGAGGACUUCGAGGCACCAGGCUUACAAAUUUUGAAUGUCAAAAAUGAAAGAAAACAAAGUGCUCCAAAUUAAUAUCUAAUACCACAGGUGCAUCGGCGGCGUUGAUACAAUUCCAACGAUCCCAAGAACAUCAAAAUUUGAGUUUGUAUGAAGAAAUGACGAUUGUUUUACCGGAGGAGCACUUAAUGGCGUGUGGUAUGAGCAUGCCGCUCGUACCAAUUCCAGACAAGAUUGUAAAGGUUUAGAUCAGACGGGAUUCUUCACCAAUUUUGUCCCCGUUUGUCCCUGAAACUUCCUUGUCUAUUAAGGAAUGUUUUGAGAGAAGAUUAGGCUUAUCUAGAUACCUUAGAUCAAAGGAGAAAACCUACAUCUAGGAAGGAGGCUUUGGGAGAUACCUUAUAUAUGCACCUCCAACCCUAGCUGCUUGCAUCAUCAGUCAUUCAUCCAAGAUCAAUCUCAUCUCCAUUAAGUUAUGGUCUAGGACCACCUCCAUAGAGUAAGAAGGUCCAAGACGAGGAAAGGAAGAGGAGGCUCCGCCACUGCACCAUCUCCACCGACGGCGUCACCACCAUCUCCAUCGUCGGCGCUACCUCUAUCAUGACAUGCUCCUCUCCUUCACCGGCUCCAUGCGAGCUUGUAACGCACCUCCCCCCUCUAUGUUACCCCUUCGUAUGUUUGAGUAAUUGGACUAGUUCUUGAGGAUUUGGAUGAACCCUUGCAUGAUUAUCACUUAUUGUUUACAAGUGAUCAGAUCAUUCUCUUUAUAUAUGUUGUGUUGAUUUUAUCAUGGUGUUUUGAAGAGGGAUCACUCAACAUUAGCCCCUCGUGGGAGGGUAUUAUUAUUGGUGUGAAUGACUAUUGUGGAGGUUUGUAGUUACAAUGUACAUUACGGAUAUUUUUCCCGGAUCAUCGCAAUGGGGAGUAACGAAGAACAUAAAGCUUUAUGUCAUGUUCAUGGGGAAACACUUAAUCACCAUAGUGUUAGUGGGGAUACACUGGUGAUGGCGGGCGUCAUACAUCGUUGUUGUUGGUAAGAAUGUAUCUUUGUCUUGCUCCGCCCACACAUAAUCAUAUUCAUGUGAAUUAGUGAUACAAACAUAGAGCUAUGCAUUCACAUGUGUUGUCAGCAUUAUGUAUGGUGAUGACUACGAAACCUUUGAGAAUGCUUUACUACUCAAGCACCAUCCGCUUAGUUUAGCUCCCUUCUAUUUUUCUUCUUUUAUAUUUUUGUUUGUAGUUUAGGAAAACCACCCUUUUUAUUUGUCUUCCUAGCAACCAACUAAAGUAGACCAUUUCUAAACUUUGGUUUGGGUGCGUACAGAACCGCCUAGGUCAUGACAUAGGUGUUGGGUUACUAUUGCCUUCCUUUUCGUUUUAUGUGGAUUUGACAGUCUAUUUUUGACAGUCUAUUUACCGUGAAAGUGCUACAACACUCUCUUGUUCUUGCAUGACAUCACUUGCUUGUUCUUUAACUUUCUCAAUUUUAUGAAAAACAAGCAUCCUCGUGUAUAUAAGUGUCUUCCCAUUUUUAGUGCUCCCGACAAAUUUGAAAAAAAAACUCGUUUCAAACUUUAAUUGCUCCAUUUUCCUGCUUGAAAAGAAGACAUAAUUUUGUCCAAAGACAAACAUUGCAAAGUUUGGUCAAGUCUAUAGGGGAAUCAUUCAACAUAUCAAAACAAUGUUAUAUUGUGUAUUUAAUGAUGCUAUGUUAGUAAAACAGUUGUUAAUAAUUUUUUCUGUAAGCUUGGUCAAAGUUUGAACCGUUUUUAUCUGAGACAAAAUUUAUACAACUUCUUUUCAAGCACAUGGAGUACUUCAAUAAUACCGUGAACUUUGUAUUUUUACUCACGGUCUUUACUUUACACUACAUAACAUUUAUUGACUUGUCUCUACAAGAAAAACCUGCACCUAUGAACUUGACUCUUAGUAAAGUACACAUUAUAAUUGUUUAGAAGGUUUCACAUAAGUCUUGAGAAUUGGAGGCAUACGUACUUUCUCUUGACGGGUUCGACCCUCAUUAGUUUCUCAUCCAUAAUUUAAAAGUGUUACAAUUAUCCCUAUCACUUGGCGGUUAAUCAUUGCCAACUUCGAGAAUGGUGUUUUUCCUGCUAGGCUUCCUUGUCUAAUGUCCAGAACUUCUAGGUUACGUUGCUUUUUCGUCCAAUUGUCAGCUGAUUUUGGAGGCUACUUAAAUAAGGCACCUACACACCUUCAAAGGGUAGAAGCUCCGCGACCCUUUGUUGUGGGAGAACUCCAUUUUGCUUCUCUGUGUUAUUACUCUUUUUCCUUAGUACUUCGUUGAACAUCUUUGCCAAAGGGUUCUUUCUAGCUGACCUAUGCAAGUUAUUAUUACCCUUGGAGGUUGAACGUCCCCUCGACAAUUGGUCUCACAUUUAAGCCUUCAUUGUGCAAACGAGCUAAAAAGUUUGUGAAGCUUGGGAGCACGCCCACUUCAUGUGGAGGUCUACCAAAGUGAUUGGUCAUGAGUUUUGUGUCCUAAGCCAAGAAGGUAUAGGUGGGACUUGGUGAUAGAGGUCUUUGUGACCUUAGGACUUUCCUAGCCUCCCCAAUUAUGGCAUAUGAUUCUGCAAAGGAUCUGAACGUCGAAUAGAUCUUGUGUUCCUUAUUCCUUGUUUCUGUCCAUUUACCUUUUGAAGGUUAAUUCUGCACCAGUAUUUACUUAGACUUGCACCAUGGGAUGCUUUAGAGGAGUGGCGGCGCCAAGAAAUGAAGGUUGGGUAUUCAUCCAAUUUUUUUUCCUCUAAAUGUAGUAUAUGAACCAAACAACACAACAUAAUAAAACAACACUAGCAUAACGGCAAUAGCAAUAUUUCAAUGUAUCAAACCAUAAUGACAUGAAUACAUAAGUACCUUUUGAUUGACAAAGUGAUGAUAUCCUUCUUACAAUAUAACUCUGCGGUCGCCUUUUUGGAAGAGAUUGAUGCCAUCUUCAUCCUUCACUUGAUUGAAAGAGGUCUUUGUGUGGAUGUAAAAGUUAUUUUCCUUGCCUUUGAAGAUUUGUCCCACAAUUUAAAUAGGCUAACAUCCUUUUUUCAUCUACAUCAUAGAUCACAUAAACGAAGUACAAAUUAAUGGCAUGGCAAUAUGAAUGGCUUCUACUCCUUAUAGCAAUCAUAGGCAGUGGCAUUUAUAAAAAAAUCUUCAGAUUUCUUAAAUAAAUAGAGGGCAAAAAAAACCUUGUUGGACUUGGAGCAGCGUAGUACUGGAGCGGUGGAGGUAGAAUGGUGUGUGGUGGUCGUCUGGUGGAGCCGUGGAAGGCGCCAACCGCCAGGCCAGCGGCAGCAGGGGUGGCCGGUCGGCCGGGGGUCCGGUGAAAGGGAUCCCGAGCCGGUCCGGCCACCCGGGGAGGCCGGGUCGUCGGGAGGCGGUCAGGCAGAGGCCGGAGGGGCCUUAAGGGAGAGCCGGAGAGGGUCAGGCGCCCGACGCCAGGCCGGAUUGGAGGAGAGGAAGAGGGCCGACCGCUGCGGCCCGCGGGUAGGUUAGGGUUGGGGGCUUGGGGCGGGAGGAGAGGGAUCGAGGGGAGGGAUCGAUGUUUCAGCGCCUCGGGCUGGCUCGCGCGGGUUACGAGACGUCCUCGCCGGCUCACUCUUCUGUCCAGCUGAAUUAAUAUGCCUAUUCAAAAAAUGAGCGAAAAUCUUGAGUAUUCCAGAGAAGUCCCAGGAAUGCCCCAACGCCGCCCCUGCUUUAGAGGUGCUAAUGGGCAUCUAGCACAUAAAUACAUCCUAACCCCAACGCAAUGCCAUUACAAUUGUUCGACGGCUGCAAUGACUGUAAAAAAACUUGCCAACAGAAAAUCCGGACAUAAAAAGAAGAAAGUGUUUUUAGCAUACGCACCAUUGAAGAACACAAAAUAGCUAACAAAUCCUUGACCAUGAAGGUAUUUUUGAUUCACAUGAUUCCAAGAACAUAAAACAGGGAAACGUCGAAUUGUAAUGAUUAUAUCAUUGAAGAUGUAUGAGUUAAUACAAAUUAUCAAACAUGGUGCAAAAAACAACAUAGAAAUCUUUCUUAUGGAUUGCAGUCCUACGCGCUACACCUUCUCUUUUAUAAUAAUUUUCUUGUUUCAUACAAAUGUUAAUCCAAGGCGUACAUUGUUUCUAAAGAGAUUGUCUUAAUCUUUUUUUCCCUUACACUACAGUAGCCAUCUCACUCAAGUGAAGAUGAAAAUGAUGGUAAUAUUACACGAAAGGUUCUACUCCCUCCGUACCUAAAUAUAAGUCUUUUAGAAGGUUUCAUUAAGGAGGCUACAUACGGAUGCAUAUAAACAUAUUUUAAAGUAUAGAUUCACUCAUUUAACUUUGGAUGUAGCCCUCUAGUAAAAUCUCUAUAAAAACUUAUAUUUAGGAAAGGAGGGAGUAGUACAUGAACUAGCAGCCAUGCAAAACUUAAGUCUAGCUUUAUUGUCUCAACGGAUACGGCGAGACACAACCGAGAGCGGCGGUGGUGGCAUCCCUCUGUGGCGCACUGACGUGGACGGGAUUAUUCUGAGCAAUUUAUAUAGCCGUGCAGAGCGAACAUGGGAGCACAGAAGCAGAACAUUGGCUCAUGGCCACGGUGCAUAUAUCCGCUAGUUAAUGCAAAAGAAGGCGGAAUGAAAAAGGAGGAUCAUCGUGACCGACGCAUGAUCUUGUUAGCCCCUUUGCAGUGGUGGCCACUGGGUGAAUCCGACGGUGCUCGACGUGUCCUUCCUUGUCCUUUCCACACAAAGCGAGCGAUCGGUGCUCCCACCAAUUAUCCGCAACAAACGUUGCCCGCCCUGGCCGGCCCCGGCCGGGUCCCGUUAUACUAUGUUUCUUUUGUAACCGCCGGUCCUUGCCAUCUCUCUUAUCGUCUCGCCGCCCAGUCCUAUAAAUACCGCUCAUCCAUGAAGAGAUAUGCAUACAAACACACACACACCAUUGAUCGGAAACCAUCCAUCAUCACUAGACCGAAAACUCUCUGUCUUGUGUCCCGUCGAGCACGUAGUGUACCACCGGCCCUCGUCUCUAGCUCCAUCGUCCAUCAUCCAUGGCUGCUCGCAUCGGCGCUGUUGUCCUCUGCCUGGCGCUGAUCGUCAGCGCGGGGCUCGUAGCCACGCCGGCCGAAGCUCGCGGCGUGGCCGGCGUCCUCUAUGCGCCCGCGGUCAGCAAUGCGGCCGCUACCAGCGUUGCAGGCGUUCCUCCGGGGAGAUGGAGCGCGAGGAGGCUGCAGGGAGACGCCGCUCACAAGCGGGAGGUGCCGGGCGGCCCGGACCCGGAGCACCAUCACUAGAGUCUAGAGCAGGGAGCCAUGCAUGCAUGACGCGCCGACGUACGUACUCCAUGUACGCACGGUGCCAUGCAUGCGGGUCGCGCCUCUACUCCACAUAUGAGGUGGUAUUCCGAAUGAGGUUGGAAAGGUAAAUUGCUUGCAUUUGGUCGAAGGAGCUAGCUAGCUGUGGGUACGUACGUACCAUGCAUGGUAUCCGUUUGUGCACGCGAAAGUGUGGUCUACUACUCCCUCCGAUGUCGUUGACUUAAUUAGUACAACUUUCUACUAACUUUGUACUAAAUCAGCGACAGGAGAGGAAGUACAUUAUUACUACUCCACUCAUAUUAUCGAGUUGUAAUAAACAAGCGCAAGUUGAAGCGCACAGAUAUAUAUAUGGAUCAUGAUCUAUUAGUGAAAAAUGACAUUUCUCAUGCUCUGGGUGUGGAAUCUGGUUGCCUACGUGGUGUGGGGACAUUAUUGUACGUACGGAGGACACAUUGCUGUGACGGGUUCCACUCGAGAGAUCAUGGUGAACAUCUGCCCAGACCUUUUAUGUGUUUGACACCCAUUAUUGGUUGCAGUAUAUACAGGAG
rnacentral:lncRNA from 1 species